rnacentral:lncRNA from 1 species
UGCAAUCCAAAAUUGAACAAGCGCUUGUACUUUAAUUUUGUAAUCUUUUGGAUACAAUCGGCAAUAAGCAAAGCAAUGCUUCAAAUGAGACGGGAGAUGAUCAUAACUCAAUUUCAGUAUAGGUAGAAUUUCUCCUUCAAUUUGUGAAAUUGUAGCAAGUUCAUUUUCUUUGAAAGAAUGCCACUCAUUUGCAGUUUUCUUCAAAGAUAAUGUACCAGCUAUCGUCCUUAUGGCUAAGGGAACCCCACCACACCUUUCCGAAAUCUGUCUCCCUACUUCCACAAAGGCUGAAUUUGUUGAGUCUGCAUGUCCUUGCUCAAAUGCUAUCUUUUUGAACAAAGACCAAGCAUCAUCAUCAGACAAGCCUUUCAAUUUCAAAACAUGGGAUUGACAUUUAUUAGUUAUCUCCGCUACCCUUAGAGAUCGAGUAGUUACUAUUAUCCUACUCCCUUUAGCCCCACCCACCAAUAACUUCUUUAGCCUAGACCACUUUUCUGGGUCCUCAUUCCAAAUGUCAUCCAAAACAAGCAAAUAUUUUUUCCCAUCAAUUUUAUCUCGAAGUUGUUUUUGCAAUUGAUCCAUUUCAAGAUUUUGAUCAGGUGCAUGAUGAGUCACAGAUUUGAUAAUGUUUGCUACAAUAGCUUUCACAUCAAAAUCAUCUGAAACACACGCAAACAUCGUUAAGUCAAAAUGAUUUUUGACCAUUUCAUGGUUAUAGACAAGUUGGGCCAAAGCAGUCUUCCCUAACCCUCCAAACCCCACAAUUGGAAUGAUAUAAACAUUCUCUUCACUUUGAAACUCCAACACGAGUUUUAGAAGAGCUGCUUUAUCAUCAUCCCUCCCUAUUAUGUCAUCUUCACGCUCAAAAGAGUGCGUUUGCUGCCUCCUUUUAGUCAUGAAAGAGGUUUCCGCGGGGCGAUCACGCGGAAUGAAGCCAAAAGUGUUGGUCUCGCUUUCAAUUGAAGCUAAUCUCGCCUUAAUGGCCUUCAUUUUCCGACCCAUUUUGAGACCAUAAGCAAAUUGGUUUGAGGUUGAGAAGAAAAGGCGUACCUCUUUCGUCAGCUUGUUCCCACCCGAUACAUCUUUCCGCAAAGCUUCAGUAGAGAAAUCAUCGAGCAAGUCGUCGGCAUCAUAAAGUACAUCUUUCAGCUCUUCAAGCCAAACUUUGACGAGAUUGUCGGUCACCGAUUUCUCUUCUGCGUCAAGAAGCACAGCUUUGAUUUGACAGACAGUGCGUUUGAGGUCGUGGAUGUCAUGUUUUAGAUUCCACCACAGCCCAACUUGAGAGAGAGCACGAGAGCUCAACUUAAUAAUGAGCUCUGCGGCAAUGUCGAAAGCAAUUGCUUCGGCCAUUGUUGGUUCAAACUGAAAUCAAUGCAAAAAGUGUUUGAUUCGUGAAAGAGGAGGACUAAUAUGAGAAUGAUUCCAACAAGAUGAAACACAGAUGUGGAUCCAUACACGCGGAGACUGAAGUAUAUUUAUAGAUGUUACCAUCCACCCAGCAAGUAGUAUAAUUAAAUAAAAAGUAAUUUUAAGAGAUUCAUUAAUAUAAUUAUUUGUCUAUGCAAUAUGUCAAAGUAAAAUGUAAGAGGUUGAUUUGGCAUAUCCCAAUAUAUUUUGUUAUAGUUUGGAUGGUCAUUCUUGUCAAGUUACCUAUCAUUGGCAAAGCUUGGUAGAGACUCUUAAAAUGGUAAAUUUUUAAUUUAAACCUUUUAUAAUUUAUAAAAUUUUAAAUUAAUAAUGAUAAAAUUAUAAUUUAAUCCUCUAAAAAUUUAUAAAAAAUUAAUUUAACUCUUUAAAAAUUAUAAAGAUAUACUACUAUAAAAAUAUAUAAUUUAAUUCCGACUAAAAUUUUUUUUAGCUCGGCUACCGUUGCCUAUAAAAGAAAAAUAAAUUUCGUUUUCCACACAAUAUGUGGAGAGAUAUUGGGUUUAUGUCAGCUCCAUGGGAAUGUAUUUUAUUGGAAUUGAAGGAAAAAUCAUUACUUAUACCCUUAUGAAGAUUGCUUCCAAUGCUCAUAUCUAUUUAAUUAUUUUAUUACACAUAAAAUUGUUUAUUGUGAGUUGGAUGCUUUUGGUUUGAUUAUUUAAGAUAUUUUAUUUUUAAAUAUAUUCUUAAUUAUUUAUUUUACAUAUACAUGUAUUUUAACUUAAUAUAUUUAAUAGUGAUUUUGUUUUUUAUAAAAAAAGGACCCAAAGGUACUACCUCAUUUUAAGUUGCAUCAUAAAUUACAAUGUUAUGGAUAUCGCUAGGAUAAUUCAUCCCAAAAGAUAAAUUACAACACUUAGAAAGAGCCCAAUUACAAAGAGAUCGACUAAUUUGUUACAACCACGUUUCACCCAUUUGACCUCGGCGGAAACAAAAGAAUCAAGCAUCUUGUGAGCUCAUUGAUGCAGUGAUCAAGGGUCGUUAUGUCCUCUUUGUGAAAACUAAAGCGGUUGAUAAUGCUAGCACAAUCUGCUUCAAAAAUGACAUUAUCGGCUUCAAAAAAUUGAGCAUGCCGAAAACCAUCAAUGAGGGCAUCUAAUUCUGCUUUAAUAGUGAUUUUUUAUUCUCAUUUUAUCGGUAUAUUUGUUGGAACAUUUUCAAAUAUUUAUAGUGUUCCAAUAACUAUAAAUGAAUUGGUGUAAUUAAUCAAAAGAUUACAUUAUUUGAUUUUUUGAAAAAGAGUUAUAACUAUUUAAAUAAUAUUAUUUGAAUAGAUAUAAAUGAAUAAUUAUGUGUUUAUUUUUAAGACAUUAUUAUUCAGAAAGACACCUAUUGCUGAAGAGACAUGAAAAUUUCUAUAAGUAGAAAUGGGAUUUCAUUUGGAAAACGUACCAAAAAAUUCUAAAUAUUCUUUCUUUCCUUCCUUCAUUUUCUAAUAUUAUUAGAUUAUUCUAUAAAGUAUUACUGCAGAAAUUCUUUGUAGAAAUUGAGUUUUUGAUAUACAUUGCUUAAUGCUUGGUGGACUAUUCUCGUCAGUGCAAAACGCAAAUAGUCAUUGGCUUCAUUGUAUCCUCGAGGUUAAUUUGCUUGAAACUCAUUUGCACACCGAAUAUAGGUGGGGGUGAAUAUAACCUUAAAGAUAGUGGCUUGAUACACGCCUUGGAGCAUUGUCAUUUUUCUUCUUUUUCUGUUCGAGUUCUGUUUGUGUGUUCGAGAUUUUUCUCACUGGAGUUUUGUACUAACAAUUUUAAGGUUAUAAUUCAUGAUGACUACCACAACACAUGAAAGUGGAACACUAAGGGAGUUGGCUUCCAACUUUGUUAAACUUGAUCGGUUUGAUGGUUGUAAUUUUCGACGAUGGUAGAAAAAUAUGCACUUCUUAUUAUCAACUUUGAAGAUUGCUUAUGUUUUGGAUACUCUAAGACCUGAAGAGAAUGAAAACCAAUCUGUUGUUGCAACUUGAGAAAGAUAAAAAUGGGACAAUGCUGACUACAUGUGCAUGGGCCACAUAUUGAAUGGUUUAUCUGAUGGUUUGUUUGACACCUACCAAAACGAGGUCACCGCUAAAGAAUUAUGGGACAAAUUGGAGACAAGAUACAUGACCGAAGAUGGUACAAGUAAGAAAUUUCUUGUCAGUCAUUUCAAUAAUUAUCAAAUGGUUGAUGGUCAUUCUAUUAUGGAACAAUUUCGUGAUAUUGAAAAGAUGUUGAAUCAAUUCAAGCAAUAUGGUAUGAAAAUGGAUGAAAUGAUUGUUGUAUCCUCCAUAAUAGACAAACUUCCUCCAUCUUGGAAAGACUUUAAAAGAAGUCUAAAACAUAAGAAAGAGGAAAUAUCUCUUGAGGCUUUGGCAAAUCAUCUUCGUAUUGAAGAAGAGUAUAGAAAACAAGAUCAAAACCUAAAUUCAGAAAUUGCCAAAGUGCAUGUUACGGAGGAAGUACAGACUACUAAACCAUUCAAGAGAAAGUUUAAACAGACUGAUAGAGCACCAAAGUUCAAAAAGAAACAAAAGGGCUCAUGCUAUCAUUGUGGAAAGCCCGAACAUUUCAAGAAUGAAUGUCGAUUUUUAAAGAAGAAAUCAUCUUUUAAGGCUGAUAAUAACGAAAAAUUCGUUGCAAUGAUAUCUGAAAUUAAUAUGGCACAACAUGAAAGUACAUGGUGGAUUGAUACCGGAGCAACCAAACAUGUGUGCAAAGACAAAAGCAUGUUCACAAAGUUCACACAAUGAAAAAAUGACAAUGUCUUGUACAUGAGAAAUUCUUCCACCGCAGCAAUCAAAGGCAAAGAGUCUGUUGAACUACAAUUCACUUCUGGAAAGGUUUUAACCUUAAAUGAUGUAUAUUAUGUACCAGAAGUUUGAAAUAAUUUAGUGUCUGGAAGUCUGUUGAAUAAGUUUGGUUUCAAACUUGUUUUUGAGGCAGAUAAGUUUAUUUUGUCUAAGGGACGAAUUUUUGUGGGGAAAGGGUAUAUGUAUGAGAGCAUGUUCAAACUCAAUAUUAUUAAUAAAAAUAAAAAUACUAUUUCUACUUAUAUGGUUGAAUUUUUUUGUUUGUGGCAUUAUAGAUUAGGUCAUUUGAAUUAUAGAAAAUUGAAUGACAUGUAUAAGUUAGAUUUAAUUCCUAUUUUUAAUAAUAACAUUGAAAAAUGCAAUACAUGUAUGUUGACUAAAAUUACAAGAAACCCUUUCCCUAAGGUUAAAAGGAAAACAAAAUUGCUUGAUUUGAUACAUAGUGAUUUAUGUGACAUGCAUAAUACUCCUACAUUAGGUGGAAAGAAAUAUUUUGUUACUUUUAUUGAUGAUUGUUCUAGAUAUUGUUAUGUAUAUUUAUUGCAUUCAAUAGAUGAAGCGCUUAAUAAAUUUAAAGUUUAUAAAUCUGAAGUUGAACUUCAGUGUGAGUCAUUUAUCAAGUGCUUAAGAUUAGAUAGAGGUGAAGAAUAUUAUAAUCCAAGUUAUUUUGAAUCCACUGGAAUUGUCCAUCAAGUUUUAGCCCCUUACACACCACAACAAAAUGGUGUAGCUGAAAGGAAAAAUAGAAUCUUAACUGAAAUGGUAAAUUCAAUGUUAUCAUAUUCAGGUAUUGGACAAGGUUUUAGGGCGAAACUGUUCUAACAACUUGUCAUAUAUUGAAUAAAGUUCCUAAUAAGGAAACUAAAAUAACCCCCUAUGAACCAUGGAAGAAAAUGAAACCAAACCUUAAUUAUUUGAAGGUUUUGGGUUGUAGAGCUAUUGUAAAAGUUCCAACACCUAAACGUAAAAAGUUAGGUGAAAGAGGAAUUGAAUGCAUAUUUAUAGGUUAUGCACAUAAUAGCAAGGCAUAUAGGUUCAUGGUAAUUGAACCAAAUGAUUCAAUUUCAAUUAAUAAUGUUAUUGAAUCAAGAUAUGCUAUUUUUGAUGAAAAUAGAUUUAAUUCUAUAUCAAGACAAUUACAGCCACAACAAUUGAUUCAUUCUUCAAAUGAGAAUGAGAUUCCAUUGGAACAAAUUGAUAAUAAUAAUGAAUCUUGUCAAGAAUUAAGAAGAAGUAAGAGAAUUAAAAAAUGUCAAAGAUUUUGGACCAAAUUUUAUUAUGUUUCUUGUAAAAGGAAAAGGUGAAAGUAUAUGCAAUAAGAUACCUUAUUGUUAUAAUACAGAAUCUGAUCCUAUUACAUUUGAAGAGGCAAUGAAAUCUCAAGACUCUGCUUUUUGGAAAGAAGCAAUAAAUGAUGAGAUGGAUUCAAUAAUGGGAAAUCAAACUUGGAUCUUAGUUGAUCUUUCACCAGGUUCCAAACUAAUAGGUUGUAAAUGGAUCUUCAAAAAGAAAAUGAAGGUUGAUGGAACCAUUGAUAAAUUUAAAGCAAGGUUGGUAGCCAAAGGUUUUAUACAAAAUCAAUGUAUUGAUUACUUUGAUACCUAUGCUCCAGUAGCAAGAAUUGCUACAAUUAGACUCUUAAUAUCACUUACCUCUAUAUAUAAUUUAGUUUUUCACCAAAUGGAUGUUAAAAUUGUAUUUUUAAAUGGUGAAUUAGAAGAGGAAGUGUACAUGGAGUAACAGGAAGGAUUUAUUGUUCCAGGACAAGAGCAUAAGGUAUGUAAGCUUGUUAAAUCUUUAUAUGGGCUUAAACAAGCACCAAAACAAUGGCACCAAAAGUUUGACAAGGUUGUUUUAGCUAAUGGCUAUAAAAUAAAUGAAUCUGAUAAGUGCAUAUAUAGCAAAUUUGAAAAUGGAAAAGGUGUCAUAAUUUGCUUAUAUGUAGAUGACAUGCUCAUUUUUUGCACGGAUUUGGAACAAAUAGAAAACACAAAGAAAUUCUUGUCAAACAACUUUGCUAUGAAGGAUAUGAGUGUAGCAGAUGUUAUUCUUGGGAUUAAAAUAACCCGAGAUGAAAGCACUAUAGCUUUAUCACAAUCACAUUACAUUGAAAAUGUGCUUAAAAAGUUUGAUCUUUUCAACUGUAUACCAGCAUCUACACCCAUGGAUCCUCAAAUAAAAUUAGUAUCUAAUGCUAGUAGGAAAAUUGAUCAAUUGAAAUAUGCAAGUCUAAUUGGUUGUCUUAUGUACAUAAUGACUUGUACAAGACCAGAUAUUUCAUAUGUUGUUGGAAAAUUGAGUAGGUACACAAGUAAUCCAAGUAGUUUGCAUUAGCAAGCUUUGAAUAGAGUACUUAAGUACUUAAAGAAAACUAUUAACUAUGGAUUGUGUUAUAACAGAUAUCCUCCAGUUUUAGAAGGUUAUUCGGAUGCUAGUUAGAUUACAAGUUUGGAAGAUCAUGCAUCUACUAGUGGAUGGAUCUUCAUUCUUGGUAGAUAAGCCAUUUCUUGGGGUUCCAAGAAACAAACAUGUAUUACUGAUUCCACCAUGGCAGCAGAAUUUAUUGCAUUAGCUGCUGCAUCUAAAGAAGCAGAAUGGUUAAGAAAUUUUCUUUAUAAUGUACCUUUAUGGCCUAAGCAAAUUUCACCUAUUUCUAUACGUUGUGAUAGUGAGGCUACUCUAGCAAAGGCAUAUAGCCAAGUAUAUAAUGGAAAGUCUAGACACAUUGGAUUAAGACAUAGUUAUGUCCGAUAAUUAAUCUCUGAUGGAGUGAUCACUAUUAAUUAUGUGAGGUCAAGUGAAAAUUUGGCAGAUCCUUUGACAAAAAGUCUUGCUAGAGAUAUAAUAAAAAGGACCUCAAAAGGGAUGGAACUCAAGCCCAUUAAUUAGAGUCACCCAUGAUGGAAACUCAAAUCAAUGCUUGGUAUAACGUCAAGUCUUGAGUUCAAUGAGACAAAGUACAUCAUUAGUAUGUGACUGUUAGCACUAUAAAUAAAUCCAUCCUAAGAUUAAAGUGCUAGGUAUCCAUAAUGAUAAGGAAAGGAUGAAUAAUGUACUCUUAAUGGACCCAUAACAGAAAUAUGUUAGAGUGUUAUAAUUACGGGAACACUCUUGAUGGGAUCUACCUAUGUGAGUGGAAGUGCGGCCGCUUCUAGGAGCUUAAGGGUUUGACUCUGACAGCACUCAUGAAAAGAGGACACAGACAUAUGGCCAUAAUAGUGUCUCUAGAUACUAUGCAUUGGCCGAUGUUGAAAUCAUUGUACGAGAUGUGUUCAGUUAAUCAAAUGGAAUAGUUGGUUCAAAGCUUUGUCUACCGUGCAUUUUUUAUUAACUUUAACAUAUAUUCACUAAGUGAAGGUUCAAUUGUAAGAUACAUUCAUUUAUGCAAAUUGAUUUCCAAGAAUAUCAAAAUCUAAAAUAUUUUGAAAAUGGGGGGGGAGAUUGUUGGAGCAUUUUCAAAUAUUUAUAGUGUUCCAAUAACUAUAAAUGAAUGGGUAUAAUUAAUCAAAAGAUUAUAUUAUUUGAUUUUUUGAAAAAGAGUUAUAACUAUUUAAAUAAUAUUAUUUGAAUAGUUAUAAAUGAAUAAUUAUGUGUUUAUUUUUAAGACAUUAUUAUUCAGAAAGACACCUAUUGAUGAAAGAUGUCUCUAUGAAGAGACAUGAAAAUUCCUAUAAAUAGGAAUGAGAUUUCAUUUGGAAAACAUACCAAAAAAUUUCAAAUAUUCUUUCUUUCCUUCCUUCAUUUUCUAAUAUUAUUAGAUUAUUCUAUAAAGUAUUACUGCAGAAAUUCUUUGUAGAAAUUGAGUUUUUGAUAUACAUUGAUUAGUGCGUAGUGGACUAUUCUCGUCAGUGCAAAACGCAAAUAGUCAUUGGCUUCAUUGUAUCCUCGAGGUUAAUUUGCUUGGAACUCAUUUGCACAUCAAAGAUAGGUGGGGGCGAAUAUAACCUUAAAGAUAGUGGCUUAAUACACACCUUGGAGCAUUGUCCUUUUUCUUCUUUUUUUGUUCGAGUUCUGUUCGUGUGUUUGAGAUUUUUCUCACCGGAGUUUUGUACUAACAAUAUUUACAUUUGAAUUCAAAUACAUAUUCUACAAUUAACUUUAAUCUCACUGUUACAAUACUUAACCUCACUAAAUUACUUGUUUAACAUGAUUAUCGUGAAUUUAUAGAAAGAACAAUCACGAAGCAAAUGCAGAUGCACUUAUGUUUAAAGUGUUUUUAAUUGAAAUUUUAUUAUUUUGAAAAAUAAAAGUAUAAUAACUUUUUUGGCAUUCCAACUUUAUAAAAGAAUUAUUUUAGCUCUUUAUUUAUUUUCCUUCUUUUUUAGUCUUUGAACUUACAUUUUUUUUGUCAAACCAUCCAAAAUGGGUAAAAAAGUUAACGUUUGUUAACUUUGUUGACAUGACAUAUAGGUGGAUUACCACGAGUAUGUCACAUUAGCAAUUAAUUAUUUUUAAAAAUAUCAAAAAAAAUAUUUUCUUAUUAUUUUUUAAUUUUUUUAAUGUUUAAAAUAUUUUUUAAAUGUUUUAAAAUUUUAAAAAAUAAUUAAUUGCUUAUGUGGCAUAUACAUGGAAAUCCGCGUGUAUGUCACAUCAGUAAAAUCAACAGACGUUAAAUUUUCACUCAUUUUGGAGUGAUUUAACAAAAAUUACAAGUUUAAGAACUAAAAGAAACGAAAAAUUAAAUGAUAAGUUGAAAUAACUUUUUCCGUAAAGUUAGAGACCAAAAGAAUCAUUAUGGCAAAAAAUAGUUGUUUUUCUUCUCUUUUCUUCUUUUCUUUUUGGUAUCUUUUAGUGCUAAAAUUCAAGAUGGUGUGGAAUAGUUUCUAAUCUUAUUAUUGUUAUAUAUGUUUUCGAUCUCAUUAGAGCUAUAAUCUUAUUGUCUAUAUAAAGAGAGCCUAAAUAUAAUUUGUUUAGCUUCUAUUAAACAUGUUAGUGCUCCUUUGUAUGAUCAUUUUCCUCCCGUGAGUAGGGUUGAGUAAAUAAAAUAAAAUAAUUGAAAAUCGAUCCAAAUCAAGGUGUUUAGACGGUUUAUGGAAUACAAAUUAAAAAAUCACAAUUAUCCGAAACCGAACAAAAUUCUAUUCUUUAUUUAACUUAUAAAUAAUUUUUUUAUAACAUAAAAAAUCUUUUAUAUUGAAAAAUAGUGAAAAUAAAUAUAUAUAUAUAUAUAUAUUUUAAAAAUAUUAUAUAAAAGUAUUUGAUUAUUUUUAUUUACUUAAAAAAAUUUUAAAAAUAUCUAUGAAAAUAACUUUGAAAAUUUGUCAAAUGAUAAUUAAAAGCCGUAAAAUAAAGUUAAUUUUAUUAAAAUAAUUAUAAAAUUUUAUAAUAAAAAAUCGAACUAAACUAAAUUAUAAUGGAUGGAUAAAAAAAUGCAAUCGAAUUAAACUAAUAUCACUUAAUUUUAUUGCACCAAACUGGACAUAAAAGAUUUUCUUAAAAAAUUUAACCUGCAAUGAGACUGUUUUUCUCACUAAAACCUUCUAGAGCGUGCAAUGUCCUCGCCAAGUAAGUAAAUUCAAUAGAGGUUGGAGGCUAAAGGUUGAUACAUAAAAGAAGGGGAGGGGCAUAGUUCUGCUUCAAACAAAACCCCAAAUUUAGCAUCUUGAGUUGUUAAAAUAAGUAAAUUCACCAUACUUUUCCGUUAGAUUUUGGCUCUCUUCUUCAGCAGAAUGUAGCGUACAGUACAAGAAGCAGGGACCAUCCUUUCUACCAUGAUUUGUUUAUCCGCCCACAUAUUCCAACAAAACGAAUAUGGUAAUAAAUGUCAUCAAUUUCCUUCUAAUUUCCAAUGGAUCUGAUAUAAAUGGUGUAACUAUAUUCAAGAGUACUUGUAUAAUAUAUAUGCCCAACUGAGUACUAGAUGGAAUCUAUGCUGUUGACGGACUCUUGGAGGCAUGUUCGAGAGAGCUUAAACACAUUUAUAUUUUUCAGUGUUCCAUACAAUAUUCUAAUGAGUGUCAAAUUCAUUAAAAAUGAUGUAAAAAAUAAUAUAAGGAGUAGGGUCAAUCCACAGAAAUUGAGAUAUCAACAUUUGUUGUUUGCUUCAACCAAGUUGCACGUCUAGAUUCCUAUCCUGCCCACGAGGUGUGACUGUCUGUGCAAAAAUAAAAAGAAAAAUUCUAAUGUAAUAAAAGUAAAAAUAAUAAAGAUAAAAAUAAGCAAAAAGGAAAUUAAAUUAAAUAAACUAAUAUGAUGGAAUUCAAGCUUUAAGCUCGAUUUUGUUCCAAUUUCAAACCAAUGCACGAUAACAAGUCUUCUCCUUCAACCGAUAAGCCAGUUAUAGUGAUCGAGGAUGCCUCAGACCACUAACCCUUCCAUAUGUAAAUUAAUUACGAGAACGCCCAACAAUUAAUCCUUAUCGAACGAACAACCACAAAACACGCAUCCACGAUUUAGCUCUCUGGUAGCCUUGUGAGCUAAAAGGGUCCAUCUCGAACCAACAACGUCAAUUACGUGAGUCGUUUAGAUCCGAUUGCUAACUUCUUAGUUGGACACGCUAAUGUGUUCUUCGGAAGAUCAAAUACGACAAAUGCUCAAUCCGGUACUUCCAAUUGUACGUCUAUCAACACCGAAUCAAUGAGCUAUUUUUAACAUUGUGUCAACACAACUUUGUGAGAUGCCAAUAUCUAUCUCCUAAAUCAGAGAAACAACAAAUACCGAAAUAAAAGUUUUUAAGUAUAAAUUUAGAUCUCACAGCUGUCUACUGGAUUAUUUAUUUAGCUACUAAUGAAAAUAUAUGAAAUAAAAGUAUAAAUAAAAUUUAAAAAAUAUGGAAAUAGGAUUGCGCAUGGAAGAGAGAAGUGAUAAACAAGUAUGAAUAAAAGAGGGCAAAUUUUCCAAUAAUAAAGAAAAAAAAAUCAUCACCCUUUAAAAAAGAGUGGGCCAAUCUCACUUUUACCCUUUAAAAAAUAUAUACAAUAAUGUUGCAAUUGAUAAUUCUGCCCAACUUGUCGUUCUUUAUUCAUAUAUAGCAUCAUGUCAUGUGGUGCUAUUCAAGAAAAAUACAUUGAAAGCUGCAGAAAAUUUAUAAAGAAAGGCCGUCCGUUAACAAAGUUUUUAAUAAAAAAUUAGUAACUUUUUAUUUAAUUAUUACUUAGUGGGUGGAUGGUGACAUCUUUAAAAUACAAUAUUGACUCUACGGGUGAUGUAUGUAUGUAUUAACGCUUGUAUUUUCAUCUUGUUCGAAUCAUUUCACUCUUCCUCCUGCAAUAAUCAAACACUUUUUGCGUGCCAUCAAUGGCUGAAGCAUUGCUUUCGAUAUUGCUGGAGAGCUCAUUACUAAGUUGAUCUCGCGAGCUCCCUCUCAGGUUGGAGUAUGGUGGAAUUUCAAAGAUAACCUCGAUGACUUCAAACAUUGUUGCUGUCAUAUCUGAAUGGGCUGAUCUAUGAAAAUUAAAUUAACUCUGAUACUACUUAAUUGUUAGGAUCAAUCCAAUUAAGCAAUAAGUAAAUAAAAUAGCGGAAUAAAUUGAGAAAUUGAACACAUAAAUUUAACGUGGAAAAAUCCCUUUAAAGAGGAUUAAAAACCACGAACAAAUAUAAUUUUACUAUAAUGGUAAAAGAACGAAGAGCAUAAAAGAUGGAGAUAAAAACUAAACCCCGAAAACACGAAAACAAAGAACCCUAAAAACGUAAACACAAAAUUCUCUAAAUGUGUUAUGAGUCUUAUUAUUAAUUAUUGGUAUCGUUGAUGUAGCUGAGCGUGUUAAUAUUUGUUGUUAGUGGUAGUAACAUUUUAAUUAUUUUAUUCUACAUUUAUUUGUUUAUUGUAAGUGGGUUGAUGAUUUUUAUUUGUUUAUUUUUGGAAAUUUUGUUUCAUUCUUUUGUUCCAUGUCAUGUUGGAAAAAGAGUUUGAAUAAACAUGUUUGGAGUAUUAGGGUUGUAUAAUCUAAAUUUUAAGAGAUUGUUGGUAAGUCAAGUAAAAAAAAUAUUUUUUAGAAAAUUUAAUAUUUAUUAAUAUAAUAUAUAUGUUUAGCAUUUAUUAGCAUAAUAUAUUUGAGAUUGAUUAGAAUUAAAUUUUUUUUAACCUAUAAAUAGAUGUAGUUGAAACUCCUAUCGUAUGAUUUGAAUUCAAACAAUUAAUGCAAUAACCAUAUAAAAUGGCGUUGGUUUGGCUACCCCUUUGAUGUUUUGGCUUCGUUUUGGUGUUUGUUUUGGGGGUUGUGUCUCUUUGGGUUAGUUUUCAAUAUAUGCGUGCUGAUGAUGCAAUGAAUAAAGAAAUCAAAAGUUAUGCAGAAAUUUCAAUUCUGGAUGGCGCUGCAAUUAUAUUAUUAAGAGUAGUAGCAUUUUAUUUAUUAUUAACAUAUAUUUGUUUAUUGGAUACGUGUGUUGAUGAUGCAGUGAAUAAAGAAAUCAAAAGUUGUGCAGAAAUUUCAAUUUUGGAUGGCGCUGUAAUUAUAUUACUCAGAGUAGUAGCAUUUUAUGUUUCUUUUAGAUGUACAUAUAUUUAUUAGGAAAGGGUUGAAGUUUUUUAUUUGUUUAUUAUUAGGGUUAAAUAUCAAAUUUAUACCUUAGUUUUGGUUCAAUUGUAUAAUUUGAUACAUGAAUUUUGAUUUGGUGCAAUUAUCUACAUGAAACUUGAAUUCUGGUUCAUAUAUAUAUAAAACUUUGAUCUUGAUAUAAUUGUACGCAUUAAAGAAAUGAAUACCUAUAUUUAUUUUCACAUUGGAUUAAUAUAAUAGUAGCGACCUAAAAUUUUUGCGAGUUAGUUAAGGUCGUUACGAAAGGAAAUCUUGGGUUGACGAUUAUUGAAAAUUCGGAAAAGGUCUCAAUUUUACUUAAAAAGAGACGAGUCGCCACCGGUCCUUUUUCUAAGUGAGAUCAGACACCUACUAAAUUCUCUUUUUAAAAGAAAAUUUAUUUUUAAAAUUCUCUUUAAAAAAAGUCGAUUUUAGGUCUGCGUCAAAAUCCAAAGAAAAUUAGAGUUCGGGAGUCUGUUAUGCACAAAGAAGGUAUUAACACCCUCGUGGCGCCCAAAAUCGAUAUCCCAUUAAACGCGUGUUGUCUUAAAUUUUAAAAAUACGAAUUCAAUUUAAUAUUUAAUCAUGAUUCGAUUGAAAAAUGAGAAUUUUGAUAAAUCACAUAUUAUUGUAUUGUAUAUAUUUUAGAAUGAAAUACUGAUAAUUUACGAAUAAAAAUAAAGAUUUUAUUUUUAAUGAGAGAAUUUUUAAAUUUUUUAAUUUUUAGAAGGGCGUUCCGUAUUUAACAAAAAUCAAUGAUAUCCACCCAACAUAGCAGUGAAAUCAAUGACUUAAUGCUAAAUCGGUUCGUUGACUUAGGUAUUGAAAUUAUUUAAAUUAAAAAUUGUAAAUGAAAUAUUUCUAAAAGGCUGUUUAAAAAUGCUAAUUUAAUUAAAAUGAAACAAUAUUUAAAUACAUGGACUAAAUAAAUAAAUACAUGCACUUAUGUUGUGAGAUAUCUAGUGAGUUCAAAAAUUCUCUUCUGAAAAUGGUGGCUAUCAUGUAAUUAGUAGUAUAUUAUUUCAAUUUUGGUGAGAAUUGUAUUCUCACUUAAACGCUUAAUGCCAUUUGCUUAAUUUUUUGUGUGUGUGAUCGUUUGAUCUGUUCAUAAACAGAACUUUUCAUGGUGGCUAAGUUUCUUAGGGGAUAAAUUAUUAGUAGCAUUAUUUGUUUCUGCAGUGAAAUUGUGAUGCCUGUAUUUUAAACUGUGAGGUAUUUCCGUAUUUGAUGAUGUAGUGGAGUUUUGGUAGAUUAAAGUGCUCGUUUGCUGUACUAAGUUGAAAUUGAAUGAAUGCUGGCCUCAUCCAACGCCCAAAACUUGAUGACUUCAACAUUUUUAUGCCUUAAUUCGAGAAGACUAAGUUAGAGUACUAUAAAACUUUCUCAGAAUGCUGAUGAGGCAAAGAUCUAGUGAUCUAAUAUAAUUGCAAUUCAUAGUAUGGUAGUUUAAAUGCUUUGGUAAGAGAGGAAGAUUAUGUCAUGCUACUCCAUUCUCGGUUUAAAUUGGUGCUCUAUAUGAAGAAAGGUUGAUUGUUGUUAGUUCUUUUGAUGUUUUAUCUUUGAUGGAUGUUUGAGAAAUGAUUCAGUUGAUUUUCAUAAUGUCUAUCACUACAGUUUCCAUCUUAUGCGUAAUAUGACUGCUAGUUUAUCGGUCUUCGUAUAUUAUAUUCCUUUUUCUUACUGUUUUCAACACGAAAACAAGUGAGUUACUAGUUAUUUUACUUGAUUUUGUCAUGGCAUUUCAAAGAUGACCUCGAGGACGUCAAAAGCACCAUCUCCACAAUCAAAGCUGCGCUUCUUGAUGCCGAAGAACAAUCCAUGACCAGCACUCUUGUCAAAGAUUGGCUUGAAAAGUUGAAAGAUGCAUUUUAUGAUGCCGAUGAUUGGCUCGAUGAUUUUUCUACUGAAGCUUUGCAGAAAGAUCUACUGAGCAGGAACAAGCUAAUGAAAGAAGUAUGCCUUUUCUUUUCAAGCUCAAACCAAUUUGCUUAUGGUGCCAAAAUGGGUCAUCAAAUUAAGGCCAGGAUGUUCAACUUGGUAGAGUGUGACCGUCCCAUUAAAACCUCUUUCAUAACUAAGAAGAGGCAGCGAACACACUCUUUUAUGAGUAAAGAUGAAAUAAUAGGGAGGGAAGAUGAUAAAGCAGCUUUUCUAGAACACAUAUUAGAGUUCCAAAGUGAAGAGAAUGUUUAUGUGAUUCCGAUUGUGGAGUUUGGAGGGUUAGGGAUGACUACAUUGGCACAGUUUGUCAAUAAAGUGGUCAAUGAUCAUUUUGAGUUGAGGAUAUGUAAAGAUUCCAAACUGGUCAUCUCGGAAGCGAUCUUAAAUUGGACAAAUCAGAGAGAUAAAGAAAUUGCAACCUCAAGAUGAAUACACUAUGAACUUCAUAAAGAAAUUGCAACCACAAGAUGAAUACACUAUGAACUUCAUAGUACAAAGAAAUGAUUUAACCUCAACCCCUCAAACACUUAACGCAAUCUCACUUUUGUACAAUUAAGUAAAUUCUCUCCCAACUCAUUCUAGCUAUGCAAGUGAAAAUUCACAUUCAACACUCAAAUGGUUUUCCUACUAUGAAUCAAGCUCUUAAUAAGCUCCAUGUAAAGUGGAAUCAUAAAUUUUCAAAGGCAAUAUGUCUGGCAAUUGUCAUGCUUGAACAACGACUCUUCCAAAAGCAUCAAUGAACCUGAAAAUUAUAAAUCCCAACAUAGAAUAUGUUACAAAUCCCAUUAUUAUCAGCCUUAUAUUUGCACAUAUGUGUGUUUGGUAUAAUGCUGUUGAUAUAUAAAUAAUGAAACAUUUUAUCAACUUCAACCUCACCACCAAAUAUUCCGAAGCAUCUUCCUUUUCUUCCUGUUUGGACCUUCAGUAACAAAUUUGGCUGGAAUUCUAAACAGCUAAAAGAGUGCCCUGCAUCAAUGAAUAUUAUCAAUUUGAAUACCUCCAAAAGCUUGUCAAUAGCACAGGUACCAUCUAAGAUAGUAAUCAGUUGGCAUAUAUUAAGAGAAAACAUAAAUAUAUAUAAAGAUAUGAUAGGUAAGUGCUUAAAUGAAGAAAGCAGAGCAUAUAGUACAACCAUUUUGAAGGCUUCAUAGGCCUCUCUUUCCACAUCAAUGAUUUUUUAGAAUUAAAUUAUUAGAAGCAAUUGUCAAGUUAUUAUUAUGAUUUAAAAGUAAAAAGAAAAUAGAUAAAUUAGCACCUCUUUUUAUGCAUAUAAAAUGAUUGAAGUUCACUAAUGCCUUUCUCCAAUGCCUUACUGCACAAAUCACCAAAAAUAUUAUGAAAGAUGAUAAGUAAAAAGUAGGAUUAAAACAUAGGGAUUUUAACAAGGAAAUUAAUAGUAUACAACUUCAAUGAAAAAUGGCAUCGGACCCCUGACUUGGAGAUUCAAUAUACAACUCUUAUUUUUCUUCAAAAAAAGAUAAAUAAAUAAAUAACAAAGACAGACCAACCUGAUCCAACCGAAUGUUGGGGAUGUGAGCAAUCUUUUGCCAAUCAGCGCCGAUGUCCUUCCGACAUCUUUCCUCCAACUGAGGAAUUUCUCCUAUUUGUAAAUACUACAAACUGGUCAGGCAACGCAUCUCGUCCGGAAGAGAUGUUAAAUUGGGCAAAUUAAUGAGAUAAAGCCCUUGCAGAUUUGUUAGAUGUUGAAGCAACUCCGGAAGAUGCCGACACUUUGGAAUAUUUUGCAGCCAUAGAGAGCGUAGGCUUGUAUGAUCUAGGAAUAUUUGGAUGCCAGCUCCAGAUAACUCCAGCUCCUUGCAGUCCUUUACUUCAAACCGUUCAAGGAAAGUGAGGUGUUGGAACACAGGAAGCAGUGACCUCAAUCCAUUGCAAUUAUGAAUUUUUAAUGUUUUCAAUUGAACAAGAUGUUGAAGCCAAAUGGGGAGAGACACCAGCUUUGGAAUAUUAUCAAUCUCCAAAUGAGAGAGAUUCUUAAGGGGUUCCCAUUGCAUGGCCUCUAAAUCAACCUCCUUGCAAUCCUCUAUUGUUAAUGUUUUGAGGCUGAUGAGAUGUUGCAGGCACUCAUCUAGCGUGUGAGUGUCCAACCCCUCAAUGUUGUGUACAUAGAAAGAUUUCAAUUUGGAGAGAGGCAGAGAAGAGGUUGAAGUUGAUGGGGACAUACUAGUGAUUUUCAUCUUCAAUGUCUGCUUUAACGGCCUUGAACUGGAAUUCCUCAACUCUAGCUUACCAUCGAGUGAUGGAUACAGUGGCAUUAAAGUCAAAGGGCAAUUUUGAAUUGUUAAAGAGGAAAGACAAGGAAAUGCCAUGGUUGAUGUUCCCAUAACUGUUGUGUCAUCCUCGUUGGAAUCAUCAUCGAUUGGUUUUGUCGUCCUCCACCAACUCUUCAUAUUCGGACAGUCCCCGAGCGAAAGAUGCUUAAGUGAUGGGAAGAAUGAUUGUGGUUCUCCUUGACUUCCUUUUGGGCUAUUAUCAUCCAUGUACUCCAGCUUCGUACAAUCAUGUAUCUCCAGCCCUUUAAGACAAGGAAAUUGCGCAAAGGACUGGAUUUGUUUGAAAUUAACCCCAUCUAUUGUCAUAUAAACGAGAUUUGUGAGCAAAGGAAGCCAACUUGGAAACUUGGCAUCACCCCUCCAUCCUCGAAUGCAGAGCUCCUUGAGAUUAGGAUGGGGUUGGAGGUCUUCAAGUGAUUUAUCAUCACCACCACCACCACCAUCAUCAUACCAUUCUAAAGCCAACGAGCUCAAAUGUUGCUUCUCUUUCAAAUUAGCAGCCUUAAACUUCUCUUUUGCAUUUUUUACGAAUCCCAAAUUUGUUAUUUGUAGAUGUCCCCUUAAGUUGUUAAGCAAUCUCAAUUCACUUAGAUCUGCACCGCCAUGGGACCCAUCUUUAUCCACUACAGACAUGCUUAACGUCUCAAGUGAAGCCAGCUUCCCUAUUCCACGUGGCAUAUGAGUUAAACUAUGACAAGAAUAACACGCAAGAUGGGUAAGAUUCACCAAUUUUUCAAUCUUCUUUGGCAAUUCUUUAAGCCAAGUACACCAGUCAAGUUUCAGCGCUAGCAAAUUCUGAAUCUUGCAAAUACUCUUUGGGAGAAUCUUAAGAUCGCGAUUAUAAGAAAGAUCAAGGUACCUCAAAUGUUUUAACUUACAAAUGGAGGGUGAAAUCUUUUGAAUACAUAUAGAAUUCAAUUUCAAUACACACAAGCAUCUACAAUUUGCAAUUAUCAAAUCCCAAGUUUCAUAGCUGAAAUCUUCACUUAUUCUGUCUUGAAAAUGUAACAAGGUUCGCAACUUCUUUCCCUUAAACAAAGGAAAUAAUGAAGGUUUAAUUGAUAUGUGGCGACAUUUUUCACCAACAUCACUUGCAAUUUUAUUUGAAUCUACAAUACUACUCUCCAUCCCUGCUACUGAUUCAGCUAGAUCAUGCAUUUUACAUGUUAGCCCUUCCCAUAAAUAUCUUUCUCCUUGUACAUCUUGAAAGAAACUUCUUUCAACUAAAUCUUUAAAAUACCCAAACCCGAUCUCCUCCAGAGAUUGACUUUGAUUCAUUGCUUUAUGAAACCCUAUGCAAUCCAAAAUUGAACAAGCGCUUGUACUUUAAUUUUGUUAUCUUUUGGAUACAAUCGGCAAUAAGCAAAGCAAUGCUUCAAAUGAGACGGGAGAUGAUCAUAACUCAAUUUCAGUAUAGGUAGAAGUUCUCCUUCAAUUUGUGAUAUUUUAGCUAGUUCAUUUUCUUUGAAAGAAUGCCACUCAUUUGCAGUUUUCUUCAAAGAUAAUGUACCAGCUAUCGUCCUUAUGGCUAAGGGAACCCCACCACACCUUUCCGAAAUCUGUCUCCCUACUUCCACAAAGGCUGAAUUUGUUGAGUCUGCAUAUCCUUGCUCAAAUGCUAUCUUUUUGAACAAAGACCAAGCAUCAUCAUCAGACAAGCCUUUCAAUUUCAAAACACGGGAUUGACACUUAUUAGUUAUCUCCGCUACCCUUAGAGAUCGAGUAGUUACUAUUAUCCUACUCCCUUUAGCCCCACCCAUCAAUAACUUCUUUAGCCUAGACCACUUUUCUGGGUCCUCAUUCCAAAUGUCAUCCAAAACAAUCAAAUAUUUUUUCCCAUCAAUUUUAUCUCGAAGUUGUUUUUGCAAUUGAUCCAUUUCAAGAUUUUGAUCUGGUGCUUGAUGAGUGACAGAUUUGAUAAUGUUUGCUACAAUAACUUUCACAUCAAAAUCAUCUGAAACGCACGCAAACAUCGUUAAGUCAAAAUGAUUUUUGACCAUUUCAUGAUUAUAGACAAGUUGGGCCAAAGCAGUCUUCCCUAACCCUCCAAACCCCACAAUUGGAAUGAUAUAAACAUUCUCUUCACUUUGAAACUCCAACACGAGUUUUAGAAGAGCUGCUUUAUCAUCAUCCCUCCCUAUUAUGUCAUCUUCAAGCUCAAAAGAGUGCGUUUGCUGCCUCCUUUUAGUCAUGAAAGAGGUUUCCGCGGGGCGAUCACGCGGAAUGAAGCGAAAAGUGUUGGCCUCACUUUCAAUUGAAGCUAAUCUCGCCUUAAUGGCCUUCAUUUUCCGACCCAUUUUGAGACCAUAAGCAAAUUGGUUUGAGGUUGAGAAGAAAAGGCGUACCUCUUUCGUCAGCUUGUUCCCAUCCGAUGCAUCUUUCCGCAAAGCUUCAGUAGAGAAAUCAUCGAGCAAGUCGUCGGCAUCAUAAAGUACAUCUUUCAGCUCUUCAAGCCAAACUUUGACGAGAUUGUCGGUCACCGAUUUCUCUUCUGCGUCAAGAAGCACAGCUUUUAUUGUACGGACAGUGAGUUUGAGGUCGUCGAGGUCAUGUUUGAGAUUCCUCCACAGUCCAACUUGAGAGAGAGCACGAGAGCUCAACUUAGUAAUAAGCUCUAGGGCGAGGUCGAAUGCAAUUGCUUCGGCCAUUGCUGGUUCAAACAGAAAUCAUGCAAGAGGAGGAGUAAAAUAAGAAUGAUGAAACGUAUGCGAGCCAUUAGCAAUUGAUUAUUUAAAAAAAAAAUUAAAAUAGUUUUUUAUAAUUUUUAAAAUAGUUUUUAAUAGGUGUAUAUUUUUUAAAAUUUUUAUAUUUAAAACAUUAAUUAAUUGCUAAUGUAGCAUUCAUGUCAAUAAAGCUAAUAAAUAUUAAUUUUUUUUGAAUUAAUAAUACAUUUAUUAAAACUUUAUUGCUUUUAUUGGAAUGAUUAUAUAUUAAAGUUUGACAAUGAAUGUACAAAGCUAUUUUAUUCAUAACCAAGUCAAAAUAUUGUCACCCCACACAAUUGUAUACUUUUUCAAAAUCUACUUUAAAAGACAGCACCUCUCCUUCUUUAUGUCUUUGAAUAUAGUCCACAACUUCGUUUUUACUGGAGCACGAUCCAGGAUUUACCAAUCUGAAAUAAAAGUAAAAUUAAAUUUUAUCGAUAGUUUUGAGCCGAGCUUCGAAUCUAUAUAGUCAAAAUUUUUCAAUGGGGUUAGUGGACUUUACUUCAGUUUAAUUGAAAAUAGCUCACAAGGUUCAAAUUGAACAUAUAUAGACAUCUCUUCUCCCCUUGCUUGAGUUGUUGAACUAAACUAACUUUCUUCAUAUAAUAUUAAUUUUACCCAAAAGUUUCCUUUUCAACGAAAAAAAAAUUCCUAAAAUACAAAAGUUAAUGAAAGAUAAAGAAGACAUUGGAUCUAGGUUAAGUUGUUUUGUAAAAAGCUGAAAGUGCAGGGCAUCCAUAUUUGUAUCCUCAACAUUUGGUAACUGAUGGGAGCUAUGCUAAACAUUCAACCAAUCAUUAGGUACUGAAACGUUUUCAUUAAAUGAUAGUCUUACAUAAUGUACACAAGACUGCCUGAUAAUUAGUUGUGUUUCCAUGUGUUGGAUUAUUAUUUGAAACGCCGAAAGAGAAAAUUGUUUUUUUUUUUUUUAAAGAUGACACACAAAAGUAAAAAUAAAGGAGAAUAAAGAACACAACCAAGAUGUUUAUGCCCAACCCACCAAACUUGGUGCAACCUCACCUUUGUACAAUUAAGUAAACACUCUUCCAACUUAAGUGAAAAUCAACACUCAUAAGGUGGCACUCAAAUAAUAGUUACUCACCAAGUGUUCCUUUAAGUCCACAAAUCAUCUAUAUAUAUAAGCUCCAAGAUCAGCUGAUGAAGAAUGCUUACAGAUCGACUCUUCAACAAAGAAAAAAAGAAAAAGAAAGAACAAAUGUGCAUAGAGAGGAGGAUUUCAUGGGAGCACAAUGCAUGGACAGAUCAGCUGAUGAAGAAUGCAUGUCCUGCUUUUUGGCUCUUCCAUUGAACUCAUGCUGAAAAAGAAGCAGCUUAGUUACGAGGUUACAUUAGAUCAUUUGAAAUUAUGAGAUUAUUAUAAUUUUAAAAAUGUAAAGCAAUUAAGUAAUUACCACCUAUUUGUCUGCAUCUAAAUUCUUAAAGUUGUCAAAUGCCUUUAAGAAAAAUACAUGCCAAUCGAAUAUGUGGGCAGAUAAACAAAUGAGGGUAGAAAGUACGAUCUCUGCUUUUUGUAUUGCAAGCUAUGCUCUGCCAAAGAAUAGAGCCACAAGCUAACAAAAAUGAAGGGUAAAAAGAUCAAAAAUUUCAAGAUAAAAUAUAAAAUUGUAUGUACAUAUGAUUAAGAUUUAAAUUAGGAAAAUGAACAAAGCAGAGCAUGAAGUAGAAGCAUAUUGAAGGCUGGCAUGCAAGCAUUUUGGAAAAUGUCCAUUGGGUACCAAUAAAGAUUUUUUAGAAUUAAAGUAUUAGAAGCUAUGAAAUGAUAGAUAUGAACCACCAAAAUGCUUCACACUAAAUCUAAAUUAUUCAAUUUUGUUUUAUUGAAUCAAAUAGAAAAUAAAUGAGUGGCAUGAAUUACCUGUCAUUCCUUGUUGGUAUUUGGUGUAAGCUGCAAUUUCAAAUGUGUAUUUCAUCAGAUCAUUGCGAUGGUGAGAUUAAUAUAAUUUAAAAGCGUAAAGCAUUUAGCUAGAUUACCACUUUUUUUUUCUGCAUUUGAAUUCUUGAAAUUGCCAAAUUCGUUUCACUAGAAGUCUUCGAUGCUUACUGCACAAAAUAGCCAAAUAAAAUGAUAAAUGAAGAAAUUGCACCCAAAGCUUGUUCUAUUUUGACAAAAGAGGCGGUAGUUGGAGAGUCAAUGUACCAACCUGUAGCGAUAUGAGCAAUCUUAUGCCAAUCGGCACCAAUCCCCUUCCGACAUCUUUCCUCCAACUGAGGAAUUCGUUUCAUAAAGAACUCUUCCAAACUGGUUCUCGUCCGGAAGCGAUGUUAAAUUAGGCAAAUCAGAGAGAAUAAGCCUUGGAAGAUGGCGACACUUUGGAAUCUUUGCCAGCGCUAGAGAGCGCAGGCUUGUAUGAUCUUGGAAUAUUUGGAAGUUAGGUGCAGAUAACUCCAGCUCCUUGCAGUUACUUAUUGAAAACUCUUCAAGGAAAGAGAGAUGUUGGAACACAGGAAAGAGUGUCCUCAAUCCAUGGCAUUCAUGAAUUCCCAAUGUUUUCAAUCGAAAAAGAUGUUGAAGCCCAAGGGGGAGAGACACCAGCUUUGGAAUAUUACCAAUCACCAACCAAGAGGUUCCCGUUGCAUGCCCUCUAAAUCAACCUCCUUGCAAUCUCCUAUUGUCAGUUUUUUGAGGCCGGUGAAAACAGAUUAAUGGAAUCCAUGUAGUUUUCAAAGGUGAAUAAAGUAAAAUAAAGUAAAAUAAAAACUAAAAAUAGACUUGGACACUUUAUGUUAAAUUUAUAAUAAGUUUAAGGGCUAAAAUAAUCAAACUAUUGUCUAACACAUGCUAUGAAAAAGAAAUCACGGUUAAAAGAAUAUUGUAUGCUUCAAUGAAAGUCACAAUUUAUCUUUGAUCAUGCUUGUUCGCAACUAAGCCACUAUAAUGUAACUACAUGUUCCUACAAACCUCGCUCUAGUCGACUUUGCCCUAUGAUCCAUUAGUCAAGGGUAUUUAUCCCAUCUCCAAAGUCAUGGGAUUGAUUUGUCGGUUUUGCCUUUUUUAUACUUUAGGUAAAUGUGUACGAAGUGUGUGAGUUCCAAGCUGUGUGUCAUUUGCUUUUCUUUUUUCUUUUUUUUUUUGUGUGUGUGAUCUUUUGAUCUGUUCACAAAUAGAGCUUUUCAUGGUGGCUAAGUUUCUUAGGGGAUAAAUUAUGAGUAGCAUUAUUUGUUUCUGCAGUGAAAUUGUGAUGUCUGUAUUUUAAUGUGUGAGGUAUUUCCAUUUGUUUCUUAGGGAUGCAGUGAAAUGCGUGGGAUGUGAGCAAUUUUAUGCCAACCAGCGCCAAUGUCCUUCCAACUGAGGAAUUUGUCUCAUAAUCAAUUGUGCAUCCUUGCAUUUGAAUACUGUUUGGAACAUUAAAAAUGUGUUUUUUCCUGAGUUGGUACAUAUUAUGCAACAAGGAAUAUAAAGAACAAAAUUAAUAUGUUUACGCAGUUUGGAACUCAUCUUACGUAUGCGGGGCUUUGCCCAAAGAUGAAUCCAAUAUGAACUUCAAUAAAGAAAUGAUUUAAGCUUAACCCCUCAAACACUUGAUGCAAAUUCUCUCCCAACUCAUUUUAGCUAUGCAAGUGAAAUUCACAUUCAACACUCAAAUGGUUUUUCUAUUAUGAAUCAAGCUCUUAAUAAGCUCCAUGUAAAGUGGAAUCAUAAAUUUUGAAAUGCAAUAUGUCUGGCAAUUGUCAUGCUUGAACAACGACUCUUCCAAAAGCAUCAAUGAACCUGAAAAUUAUAAAUGCCAACAUAGAAUACGUUACAAAUCCCAUUAUUAUCAGCCUUAUAUUUGCACUUAUGUGUGUUUAGUAUAAUGCUGUUGAUAUAUAAAUAAUGAAACAUUUUAUCAACUUCAACCUCACCUCCAAAUAUUCUGAAGCAUCCUCCUUUUUUUCCUGUUUGGACCUUCAAUAACAAAUUUGGCUGGAAUUCCAAACAGUUAAAAGAGUGCCCUGCGUCAAUGAAUAUUAUGAAUUUGAGUACCUCCAAAAGCCUGUCAAUAGCAUAGGUGCCAUCUAAGAUAGCAAUCAGUUGGCAUACAUGAAGAGAAAACAUAAAGAUAUAUAAAGAUAUGAUAGGUAAGUGCUUAAAUGAAGAAAGCAGAGCAUAUAGUACAACCAUUUUGAAGGCUUCAUAGGCCACUCUCUCCACAUCAAUGAUUUUUUAGAAUUAAAUUAUUAGAAGCAAAUAGAUAAAUUAGCACCUCUUUUUAUGUAUAUAAAAUGAUUGAAGUUCACUAAUGCCUUUCUCCAAUGCCUUACUGCACAAAUCAGCAAAAAAUAUUAUGAAAGAUGAUAAGUAAAAAGUAGGAUUAAAACAAGGGAUUUUAACAAGGAAAUUAACAGUAUCCAACUUCAAUGAAAAAUGGCAUCAGACCCCUGACUUGGAGAUUCAAUAUACCACUUAUUUUUCUUCAAAAACAGAUAAGGUCAUCAAAAUAAAUAAAUAACAAAGACGGACCAACCUGAUACAACACAAUGUUGGGGACGUGAGCAAUCUUUUGCCAAUCAGCGCCAAUGUCCUUCCGACAUCUUUCCUCCAACUGAGGAAUUUCUCGUAUGUGUAAAUACUCCAAACUGGUUAGGCAACGCAUCUCGUCCAGAAGAGAUGUUAAAUUGGGCAAAUUUACGAGAUAAAGCCGUUGCAGAUUUGUUAGAUGUUGAAGCCAAUCCGGAAGAUGCCGACACUUUGGAAUAUUUUGCAGCCGUAGAGAGUGUAAGCUUGUAUGAUCUUGGAAUAUUUGGAUGCCAGCUCCAGAUAACUCCAGCUCCUUGCAGUCCUCUACUUCAAACUCUUCAAGGAAAGUGAGAUGUUGGAACACAGGAAACAGUGACCUCAAUCCAUUGCAGUUAUGAAUUUUUAAUCUUUUCAAUUGAACAAGAUGUUGAAGCCCAAUGGGGAGAGACACCAGCUUUGGAAUAUUAUCAAUCUUCAAAUGAGAGAGAUUCUUAAGGGGUUCCCAUUGCAUGCCCUCUAAAUCAACCUCCUUGCAGUCCUUUACUUCAAACUCUUCAAGGAAAGUGAGAUGUUGGAACACAGGAAGCAGCGACCUCAAUCCAUUGCAGUUAUGAAUUUUUAAUGUUUUCAAUUGAAGAAGAUGUUGAAGCCCAAUGGGGAGAGACACCAGCGUUGGAAUAUUAUCAAUCUCCAAAUGAGAGAGAUUCUUAAGGGGUUCCCAUUGCAUGCCCUCUAAAUCAACCUCCUUGCAGUCCUUUACUUCAAACUCUUCAAGGAAAGUGAGAUGUUGGAACACAGGAAGCAGCGACCUCAAUCCAUUGCAGUUAUGAAUUUUUAAUGUUUUCAAUUGAAGAAGAUGUUGAAGCCCAAUGGGGAGAGACACCAGCUUUGGAAUAUUAUCAAUCUCCAAAUGAGAGAGAUUCUUAAGGGGUUCCCAUUGCAUGCCCUCUAAAUCAACCUCCUUGCAAUCUCUUAUUGUUAAACUUUUGAGGCUGGUGAGAUGUUGCAGGCACUCAUAUAGCGUGUGAGUGUCCAACCCCUCAAUGGUGUGUACAUGGAAAGAUUUCAAUUUGGAGAGUGGAAGAGAAGAGGUUGAAGUUGAUGGGGCCUUAGCGUUGAUGUUCAUCUUGAUAGUCUGCUUUAACGGCCUUGAACUGGUAUUCAACAAUAUUAGAUCUUCAUCGAGUGAUGGAUACAGUGGCAUUAAAGUCAAAGGGCAAUUUUGAAUCCAUAAAGAGGAAAGACAAGGAAAUGCCAUGGUUGAUGUUCCCAUAACUGUUGUGUCGUCCUGGUUGGAAUCAUCAUUGAUUGGUUUUGUCAUCCUCCACCAACUCUUCAUAUGCAGGCAUUGACUGAGCCGAAGAUGCUUAAGUGAUGGGAAGAAUGAUUGUGGUUCUCCUUGACUUCCUUUUAGGCUAUUAUCAUCUAUGUACUCCAGCUUAGUACAAAAGCUAAUAUCCAGCAGUUCAAGACGGGGCAAUUGAGCAAAGGACGGGAAAUAUUUGAAAUUACCACCACUUAUGAAAAUUUUGACGAGAUUUGUGAGAAAAGAAAUCCAACUUGGAAACUUGGCAUCACCCCUCCAUCCUCCAAUACAGAGCUGCUUGAGAUUAGGAUGGGGCUGGAGGUCUUCAAGUGACUUCUCAUCAUCAUGGUUACCACCGCCCCAUUCUAAACCCAACCAUCUCAAAUGUUGCUUCUCAUUCAAAUUAGCAGCCUUAAACUUCUCUUUUGCAUUUUUUACGAAUCCCAAAUUUGUUAUUGUUAGGCGUCCCCUUAAGUUGUUAAGCAGUCUCAAUUCACUUAGAUCUGCACCGCCAUGGGACCCAUCUUUAUCCACUACAAACAUGCUUAACGUCUCAAGUGAAGUCAGCUUCCCUAUUCCACGUGGCAUAUGAGUUAAUCUAUCACAAAAAUAACACGCAAGAUGGGUAAGAUUCACCAAUUUUUCAAUCUUCUUUGGCAAUUCUUUAAGCCUAUGACAGCUGUCAAGUUUCAGCGCUAGCAAAUUCUGAAUCUUGCAAAUACUCUCUGGGAGAAUCUUAAUAUUGUAAUUGGCAGAAAGAUCAAGGUACCUCAAAUGUUUCAACUUGUAAAUGGAGGGUGAAAUCAUCUGAAUACCUAACCACCGAAAAUCCAAUACACGCAAGCAUCUACAAUUUGUAAUUACAAAUUCCCAAGUUUCUUCGCUCAAAUGUGCAGAAAAUUUGUUUGGAUAUCGUAACAAGGUUCGCAACUUCUUUCCCUUAAACAAAGGAAUUAAUGAAGGAUUAAUUGAUAUGUGGCGACAUUUUUCACCACCAUCACUUGCAAUGUUAUUUGAAUCUACAAUACUACUCUCCAUCCCUGCUACUGAUUCAGCUAGAUCAUGCAUUAAAUCAUGCAUUUUACAUCUCAUAUCCCCAAUUCCAUAUUCUUCUACCUCUUGAAAGAAACUUCUUUCAACUAAAUCUUUAAAAUAUCCAAAUCCGAUCUCCUCAAGAGAUUGACUUGGAUUCAAUUGCUUUACAAAACCUUGUGCAAUCCAAAAUUGAACAAGUGUUCGUACAUCAAUUUCAUGAUCUUUUGGAUAUAGUCGACAAUAAGCAAAACAAUGCUUCAAAUGGGAUGAGAGAUGAUCAUAACUCAACUUAAGUGUAGGUAAUAUCUCACCUUCGUUCUGAGAUAUUCUAGCAAGUUCCUUAUCUUUAAAAGAAAGCCACUCACUUUUAGUUUCUUUGAAAGAUAACGUACCAGCUAUCGUCCUUAUGACUAAGGGAACCCCACAACACCUUUCCAGAAUCAGCUUUCCUAUUUCCACAAAGCCUGAAUCUGUUGAGUCUGCCGAUCUUUGUUCAAAUGCUAUCUCUUUGAACAAAGACCAAGCAUCAUUAUCAGACAAGCCUUUCAGAACAUAAGGCUGACAUUUACUAGUAAUCUUUGCUACUCCCAAAGAGCGAGUAGUUACUAUUAUCCUACUUCCUUUAGCCCCACCUACUAAUAACUCUUUUAAACUAACCCAAUUUUCCCACUUUUCAUUCCAAAUGUCAUCCAAAACAAGCAAAUACUUUUUCCCACCAAUUUUUUCCCGAAGUUGUUUUUGCAAUUGGUCCAUUUCGAGAUUUUGAUCUGGUGCUUGGCCUGUUGCAGAUUUGAUCAUGUUUUCUACAAUUAUUUUGACAUCAAAAACAUCUGAAACACACACCCACAUCAUCAACUCAAAAUGAUUUUUGACCAUUUCAUCAUUAUAGACAAACUGAGCCAAAGCAGUCUUCCCUAACCCUCCAAACCCCACAAUUGGAAUGAUGUAAACAGUCUCUUCACUUUCAAACUCUAACACGAGUUUUAGAAGAGCUGCUUUAUCAUCGUCCCUCCCUAUUAUUUUAUCUUUAGGCACAAAAGAGUGCGUUUGCUGCCUCUUUUUAGUCAUGAAAGAGGUUUCCAUGGGACGGUGACGCUCUACCAAGUUGAACACCUUGGCUUCACUUGCAAUUGAAAACAACCUGGCCUUAAUGGUCUUAAUUUUCCGACCCAUUUUGAGACCGUAAGCAAACUGGUUUGAGCUCGAGAAGAAAAGGCGUACCUCUUUCGUCAGCUUGUUCCCACCCAUUAGAUCUUUCCGCAAAGCUUCGGUAGAGAAAUCAUCUAGCAAGUCGUCAGCAUCAUAAAGUACAUCUUUCAGCUCUUCAAGCCAAACUUUGACGAGAUUGUCGGUCACCGAUUUCUCUUCUGCGUCAAGAAGCACAGCUUUGAUUGUACGAACAGUGCGUUUGAGGUCGUCGAGGUCAUGUUUGAGAUUCCACCACAUUCCAACUUGAGAGAGAGCACGAGAGCUCAACUUAGUAAUAAGCUCUAGGGCGAGGUCGAAUGCAAUUGCUUCGGCCAUUGCUGGUUCAAACAGAAAUCAAGCAAAGAAGUGUUGGGUUAUUGCAAGAGGAGUAGUAAAAAUGAGAAUGAUUGGAACAAGAUGAAACACAGAUGUGGAUCCAUACACGCAGAGACUAAGUAUAUUUAUAAAUGUUAGCAUUCACCCAGCAAGUAGUAUAAUUAAAUAAAAAGUAAUGUUGAUUGGUGGGAAAUGGUCCCUCCAUGUUUACUGUUUGACACAAAUUUCUCAACGGAGACAAAGUUGGACACUUGGGGUGCUCUGCACAAUGUGGAGCCGUACAAAUAAUUGAAAUUAAUGAAAAAGAUAGGUAAGAAAAGAGAAAAAGGAGACAAAUCCCAUGGAAUCCAAGGUGUUUUGAUUGACGCCCAUCCAUUCAAGUCUUUUUAAACCUUCUUCCCACUUACUUUGUGUAAUUGAGUGAGUCUGAACACUCGGUUUUAACUUAAAUUUAAUAUUUUAUUUUUUAAUUUAACUUCAGUUGAAUAUAUAAAAUAAAAAUUCAAUAAAAGUCAUUCACCAUUAAAAUCAAAUAUUAUUAAAUUCGAAUAUAUUAAAUCAAUAAUUUAAAUAUAAUUUAAUGAUUAUUGAAUCAACUUAAAUCAUGUCCAUAUUUUUUGUCUUUGAAGGUAACUUGGUGCCUACAAUAAUAUAUUACGACAAUGGUUACUGUCCAUUACUACUUUAAUAUACUCUUAUUACUAGUGUUUUUUUAUAUUAAUGGGUAUGUUAAUUAUAUUUGCUAUUAAUUUUUUAUAUAAUAUUAAGAGUGGGGAUGGAGGUAAUAUUGUUUGAAUCCGUGUCAAACACGUAUUGACAAGAGUUUUAACUACCGUUCCUAGCAAGUCAAGACAUAUUUGUUAUUAAUAGUAGUAGCAUUUUAUUUUUCUUUUAAAUAUACAUAUAUUUAUUAAGAAAGGAUCCAAGGUUUUGAUUUGUUUAUUAUUAGGGAAAAAAAUUUAAAUUUAUACAAGAAUUUUAGUUCAAUGAGUAAUUUAAUACAUGAAUUUUGAUGUGGUAUAAUUUCCACAUGAAACUUGUAUUGUGGGUCAUAUAUUAAUACAUGAAAUUUUAAUUCUCAUUCAACUGUACACAUGUAAAAAAAUGCAUACAUAUAUAUAUUUUUACAUUGGAUUAAUAUAAUUGUUUGUCGAUAUAAUAUAUCAAAGUAAAAUGUAAGAGGUUGAUUUGGCAUAUCCCAAAACAUUUUGUUAUAGCUUCCGGUGUUGUAACACCCUUAAACCGUAUCCAUUGGCAAAAUAGGGUUAUAGAGCAUUACCGGAGUUUACAAAUUAAUUUAGAGACAAUUCAUUUCAUCAAGCAUUCAUAUUUAUAACCAAUCAAAAUCAAAACAUUAAUGAACUAACGUUGGUCAAUUUAACUUACAUGCCAUUAUAACCAGAAUCAAAUUAUUCAAAAUUACCGAUAGAACCAAUGGAUAGUGCAAUAUAUCUCCGACAAGUUUCCAACCCAAUCGAGCUUCCGAUAAUCAUUUCAAUGCAGCUAAUAAUUAUACAUAUUACCAAUAAUAAUUCAAUUCAAAUAAUAAAACACAUAUUUAUAUAAUAUUUAUCACCAAAUAACAUUCACUUUAAUUAAAAUUAUACUGAAUAUAGUUCAUACGAACUUACCAGGCUAAAUUGCAGAAAUGCCAAAAUUCAGGGAUAUUUUGGUAAUUUUCUAUUUUCCUUGAAUUUCCACCCAAUCUUGAUCUAAAUUAAUAUUUCAUUCAAUUUAUUAAUUGAAAUAAUAAAACAAUUUAUUUCAUACAAUUUGGUCACUUUUUGACAUUUUUACAAAAUUACCCUAAAAAUUUUACCUUUAUUCAAUUUAGUCCCUGAACCUAAAACAUGUAAAUUAGCUAUUUUAAAAAUAAACCCAUAUUAUCUAAAUAUUCACAUAUAUUUUUUCCUCCUCCUCCACUCCAUUCUACACCCUUGAUAUAUACAUAAUACCACUAUUUACUUGUUUACUCAUAACAAGUUAUUCACUUGAGUCAUAGUCACUAAAUAAAUUAUAUAUUAAGCUACAGUACUCCAAUUUGAGAUUUGUAAAUUUUCUAUGAAACUAGACUCACAUAUAUUCUUACCAUAAAAUUUCAGAAUUUUUUUUAUCCAAUAAGUACAUUUUAUUCUUUAAAGUUUCCCCUAUUUCAUUGUUUGACAGUUCCGAUCCCUCUUCACUAAAAAUUAAUUAUCCCUUUGUAAAAAAUUCAGAUGAUAUUCAUGUUUGUUUCUAUUGAAAAUAGACUCAUUAAGUAUUUUAAAAAUAUAAAUUAUAACCCAUAAUUAUUUUUAUACAAUUUUUAAUGAUUUUUCCAUGUCAGAACAGGGGAACUCGAAUUCAUUCUAACAUUGUCUCACAAAAUUCAUUAUAUCUCAUGAUUUACAAUUUCAUUACUUACACUCUUUCUUCUAUGAGAAACCAGACUGAAUAAGCUUUAAUUUCAUUUUUUUUUUCAUCCUCUAAUUUGAUUUCCACAAUUUAUAGUGAUUUUUCAAAGUUAACCUACUACUGCUGUCCAAACUGUUUUAGUGUAAAAUGUUGAUAACUAAAUUUAUAACACCUUUGUUUCCUUUCUCUUCAAUAUUUUCCAUCACUUCCUCUUAUUUCCCUUUACUAACAUAACAACAAUAUAGAUCCUUAUAUAAUGAAACUCUACAUUAAUAUUAAUUUCCUACUUUUUCAAUAAUAUCAAACUCAAAAGUAUAUUGAAAUCUUGAUGUUCUUACAUUGUGCUAUUGAUUUCAAUCUUUAACUUGAUUUUCUCUCUCCUUCAACUUCUAUUUCUUGAAUCGAACUUAAUAUUCUAGCUCCCCAUAGUCUCCUUAACAUUUUUCUCUCUUGGUAGCUAUGGAAAUUCUUUUGAUUUCUAGGUGAAAAUGGUAAAUUUUUGGAGGAAGGACCAAAUUGUAAAGAAAAGAAAACUUUCUUUCUGUCUUCCUUCUUCUCACGUUGGUUCUUCAUCUUUCCCUCCAUAUAUAAUACUAAAUAGAAUAAUAAUAAAAUAAUAAAAUAUCAUUUCAAAAUUAAAUUAAAAUAUUAAUAAAUUAAUAUUUAUUUAUUUAAUUAAUCUAAAAUAUCACCAACAUCAUCAUUGCCUUCUAGAUUUCUCUCUCUUCUAAUUGACUAUUUUGCCCUUUAUAAUCUUUAAAAAUUCCAUCCUUGAGUCAUCACUUAAUUUGGUAAAAUUACGAUUUAGUCCCUCAAAAUUCUUCACCUUUUUUAAUUUGGUCCUAAUUCAUCCAUUUUCCUUAGUUUCUAGAUUAUUCCACCCUUAAAAUAUUUUCACUAUUGGUCCUUCAACUUUUUCAUAUUUACACUUUACCCCUUCAAAUUUUGAGUAUUUACUCUUGAUCAACAAAACUUUUCUCACUUUUGCGAUUUAAUCCUUUCUUGAAUUAAUAUAUUAUAAUAUAAUUCCUAAUGUUGCCAAAACUCAAAAUUUUCAAGGUAUUACAGUAAUAAUUUUCGGGAUAUUACAGGUGCUCAUAUCUAUUUAAUUAUUUUAAUACACAUAAAAUUGUUUAUUGUGAGUUGGAUGAUUUUGGUUUGUUUAUUUAAGAUAUUUUAUUUUUAAAUAUAUUCUUAAUUAUUUAUUUUACAUAUUUUAACUUAAUAUAUUUAAUAGUGAUUUUUUUAAUAAAAAAAAGGACCCAAAGGUUACUACCUCAUUUUAAGUUGCAUCAUAAAUUACAAUGUUAUGGAUAUCGCUAUGAUAAUCAAUCUCAAAAGACAAAUUACAACACUUAGAAAGAGCCCAAUUACAAAGAGAAUCGGCUAAUUUGUUACAACCACGUUUCACCCAUUUGACCUUGGCGGAAACAAAAGAAUCAAGCAUCUUGUGAACUCCUUGAUGCAGUGAUCAAGGAUCGUUAUGUCCUUCUUGUCAAAACUGAAGCAGUUGACAAUACUAGCACAAUCUGUUUCAAAAAUGACGUUAUCGGCUUUAAGAAAUUGAGCAAGCUGAAAACCAUUUAUGAGGGCAUCUACUUCCGCUUUAAUAUUGAUUUUUUAUUCUCAUUUUAUCAGUAUAUUUACAUUUGAAUUCAAAUACAUAUUCUAUAAUUAACUUUAAUCUCACUGUUACAAUACUUAACCUCACUAAAUUACUUGUUUAACAUGAUUAUGGUGAAUUUAUAGAAAGAACAAUCACGAAGCAAAUGCAGAUGCACUUAUGUUUAAAGUGUUAUUAAUGGAAAUUUUAUUAUUUUGAAAAAUAAAAGUAUAAUAACUUUUUUGGCAUUCCAACUUUAUAAAAGAAUUAUUUUAGCUCUAUAUUUAUUUUUCCUUCUCUUUUAGUCUUUAAACUUACAUUUUUCUGUCAAACCAUCCAAAAUGGGUGACAAAGUUAACGUUUGUUAACUUUGUUGACAUGACAUAUAGGUGGAUUACCACGUGUAUGUCACGUUAGCAAUUAAUUAUUUAAAAAUAUUUUCUUAUAAUUUUUUUAAUUUUUAAAAUAUAUUUUUUAAUUUUUUAAAAUUUUAAAAAAUAAUUACUGCUUAUGUGACAUAUACGUGGCAAUCCGUGUGUAUGUCACAUCAUCAACUUCAAAUCAUGCAUUUUACAUCUCAUAUUCCCAAUUCCAUAUUCUUCUACCUCUUGAAAGAAACUCCUUUCAACUAAAUCUUUAAAAUACCCAAAUCCGAUCUCCUCGAGAGAUUGACUUUGAUUCAAUUGCUUUAUGAAACCCUGUGCAAUCCAAAAUUGAACAAGCGCUUGUACUUCAAUUCUGUAAUCUUUUGGAUACAAUCGGCAAUAAGCAAAGCAAUGCUUCAAAUGAGACGGGAGAUGAUCAUAACUCAAUUUCAGUAUAGGUAGAAGUUCUCCUUCAAUUUGUGAUAUUUUAGCUAGUUCAUUUUCUUUGAAAGAAUGCCACUCAUUUGCAGUUUUCUUCAAAGAUAAUGUACCAGCUAUCGUCCUUAUGGCUAAGGGAACCCCACCACACCUUCCCGAAAUCUGUCUCCCCACUUCCACAAAGGCUGAAUUUGUUGAGUCUGCAUAUCCUUGCUCAAAUGCUAUCUUUUUGAACAAAGACCAAGCAUCAUCAUCAGACAAGCCUUUCAAUUUCAAAACAUGGAAUUGACAUUUAUUAGUUAUUAUUAUCCUACUCCCUUUAGCCCCACCCAUCAAUAACUUCUUUAGCCUACACCACUUUUCUGGGUCCUCAUUCCAAAUGUCAUCCAAAACAAGCAAAUAUUUUUUCCCAUCAAUUCUAUCUCGAAGUUGUUUUUGCAAUUGAUCCAUUUCAAGAUUUUGAUCAGGUGCUUGAUUAGUCACAGAUUUGAUAAUAUUUGCUACAAUAACUUUCACAUCAAAAUCAUCUGAAGCACACGCAAACAUCGUUAAGUCAAAAUUAUUUUUGACCAUAAUAUUUAUAUUUUAUUUUAUAUUUGUUUAAGUUCGGCCUGGUCCAAAAUAUAAAUUUAAAGUUUGUUCAAAUUUGUAAACAACUAACUCAAACUCAUUUUAAAUCCACUCAUAAUAUUUUUUAAAAAAUUAAAAUGUAUUUAUAUUAUUUUUAACUUAAUAUUUAAUAAUUUUACAUUUUUAUUAAAAUUUUAUAUAUAGUCAUCGUAACAUUAUAAUAGCAUUAUAAAUUUAAUUUUUAUUUUUUUACAAAUUACAUAAAAUAUAAAAGUAACAUAAUAUAAAAUUUUGCAAACUAAAAAAAUAAGUUGGGCCAAACUUAGGCUUUGGAUAUUCAAAUUUGAGAUCGACCUAUAUUUUAAACGGGCCUAUUUUUUGAAUUAAAUAGUUUUACCCAAAUUCUCCAAAAUUUCAAGUGAGUAAGUCUAGAUUGACUAAAUUUAUUAUACUCUUUCCCUUUUAUUUCCCUAUUGUUUUGGAUUAACAAUACAUUUAUUAAAACUUUAUUGCUUGUAUAGGGAUGAUUAUAUAUUAAAGUUUGACAAUGAUUGUACAAAGCUAUUUUAUUCAUAACCAAGUCAAGAAAUUGUCACUCCACACAGUUGUCUACUUUUUCAAAAUCUACUUUAAAAGAUAGCACCUCCCCUUCUUCACAUCUUUGAAUAUAGUUCACAGUUUCGUUUUUACUGGAGCACGAUCCAGGAUUUAUCAAUCUGAAAUAAAAGUAAAAUUGAAUUUUAUCGAUGGUUUUGAGCCGAGCUUCGAAUCUAUAUAGUCAAAAUAGUCUUACAUAAUGUACACAAGAUUGUCUGAUAAUUUAUUGUGUUUCCAUGUGUUGGAUUAUUAUUUGAAACCCCGAAACAGAAAAUUGUAUUUUUUUUUUUGAAGUUGACACACACAAAAGUAAAAAUAAAGGAGAAUAAAGAACACAACCAAGAUGUUUACGCAGUUCAGAACUCAUCCUACAUUUGUGAGCUUUGUCUAGAGAUAAAAUCGCUAUAAACUUCACAGUACAAUGAAAUUAUUUAUGCCCAACCCUCCAAACUUGAUGCAACCUCACCUUUGUACAAUUAAGUAAACACUCUUCCAACUUAGUGAAAAUCAACACUCAUAAGGUGGCACUCAAAUAAUAGUUACUCACUAAGUGUUCCUUUAAGUCCACAAAUCAUCUAUUUAUACAAGCUCCAAGAUCAGCUGAUGAAGAAUGCAUACAGAUAUGAUAGGUAAGUGCUUAAAUGAAGAAAGCAGAGCAUAUAGUACAACCAUUUUGAAGGCUUCAUAGGCCUCUCUCUCCACAUCAAUCAUUUUUUAGAAUUAAAUUAUUAGAAGCAAUUGUCAAGUUAUUGUUAUGAUUUAAAAGUAAAAAGCAAAUAGAUAAAUUAGCACUUCUUUUUAUGCAUAUAAAAUGAUUGAAGUUGUCUAAUGCCUUUCUCCAGUGCCUUACUGCACAAAUCAGCAAAAAUAUUAUGAAAGGUGAUAAGUAAAAAGUAGGAUUAAAACAAAGGGAUUUUAACAAGGAAAUUAACAGUAUCCAACUUGAAUGAAAAAUGGCAUCAGACCCCUGACUUGGAGAUUCAAUAUACCACUCUUAUUUUUCUUCAAAAAAAGAUAAGGUCGUCAAAAUAAAUAAAUAACAAAGACGGACCAACCUGUUACUACAAAAUGUGGGGGAUGUGAGCUAUCUUAUGCCAAUCAGCACCAAUGUCCUUCCGACAUCUUUCCUCCAACUGAGGAAUUCUUUUUAUUUCUAAAUACUCCAAACUGGUUAGGCAACGCAUCUCGUCCGGAAGAGAUGUUAAAUUGGGCAAAUUAACGAGAUAAAGCCGUUGCAGAUUUGUUAGAUGUUGAAGCCACUCCGGAAGAUGCCGACACUUUGGAAUAAUUUUCAGCCAUAGAGAGCGUAGGCUUGUAUGAUCUUGGAAUAUUUGGAUGCAAGCUCCAGAUAACUCCAGCUCCUUGCAGUCCUUUACUUCAAACUUUUCAAGGAAAGUGAGAUGUUGGAACACAGGAAGCAGUGACCUCAAUCCAUUGCAGUUAUGAAUUUCUAAUGUUUUCAGUUGAAAAAGAUGUUGAAGCCAAAUGGGGAGAGACACCAGCUUUGGAAUAUUAUCAAUCUCCAAAUGAGAGAGAUUCUGAAGGGGUUCCCAUUGCAUGCCCUCUAAAUCAACCUCCUUGCAAUCUCUUAUUGUUAAUCUUUUGAGGCUGGUGAGAUGUUGCAGGCACUCAUCUAGCGUGUGAGUGUCCAACCCCUCAAUGUUCUGUACAAGGAAAGAUUUCAAUUUGGAGAGUGGAAGAGAAGAGGUUGAAGUUGAUGGGGCCUUAGCAUUGAUGUUCAUUUUGAUAGUCUGCUUUAACGGCCUUGAACUGGUAUUCCACAACAUUAGCCCUUUAUCGAGUGAUGGAUACAGUGGCAUCAAAGUCAAAGGGAAAUUUAAAAUCCAUAAAUUGGAAAGACAAGGAAAUGCCAUGGUUGAUGUUCCCAUAACUGUUGUGUCGUCCUCGUUGGAAUCAUCAUCGAUUGGUUUUGUCAUCCUCCACCAACUCUUCAUAUUCGGGCAGCAAAAGAGCUGAAGAUGCUUAAGCGAUGGGAAGAAUGAUUGUGGUUCUCCUUGACUUCCUUUUGGGCUACUAUCAUCCAUGUACUCCAGCUUAGUACAAUCAUGUAUAUCCAGCACUUCAAGACAACGAAAUUGAGCAAAGGACGGGAGAUGUUUGAAAUUACUAUCACUUAUGUAAAUUCUGACGAGAUUUGUGAGCAAAGAAAGCCAACUCGGAAACUUGGCAUCACCCCUCCAUCCUCCAAUAUGGAGCUGCUUGAGAUUAGGAUGGGGCUGGAGGUCUUCAAGUGACUUCUCAUCAUCAUGGUUACGACCGCCCCCUAUUAAAUCCAACGCGCUCAAAUGUUGCUUCUCAUUCAAAUUAGCAGCCUUAAACUUCUCUUUUGCAUUUUUUACGAAUCCCAAAUUUGUUAUUGUUAGGCGUCCCCUUAAGUUGUUAAGCAGUCUCAAUUCACUUAGAUCUGCACCGCCAUGGGACCCAUCUUUAUCCACUACAAACUUGCUUAACGUCUCAAGUGAAGUCAGCUUCCCUAUUCCACGUGGCAUAUGAAGUCAGCUUCCCUAUUCCACGUGGCAUAUGAGUUAAACUAUCACAACCUUCACACCCAAGAUGGGUAAGAUUCACCUUUAUCCAACUUCCAUAUUUGUUAUUAGUAGUAGCAUUUUAUUUUUCUUUUAAAUAUACAUAUAUUUAUUAAGAAAGGAUCGAAGCUUUUAUUUUUCUUUUAAAUAUACAUAUAUUUAUUAAAAAAGGGUCGAAGCUUUUAACUUGUUUAUUAUUAGGGAAAAAAAUUAAAUUUAUACAUGAAUUUUAGUUAAAUGAGUAAUUUGAUACAUGAAUUUUGAUGUGGUAUAAUUUCCACAUGAAACUUGUAUUGUGGGUCAUAUAUAUAUAUAUAUAUAUAUAUAUAUACAUGAAAUUUUAAUUCUGAUUCAACUGUACACAUGUAAAAAAAUGCAUAUAUAUAUAUAGAUAUAUAUAUUACAUUGGAUUAAUAUAAUUGUUUGUCUAUGCAAUAUAUCAAAGUAAAAUGUAAGAGGUUGACUUGGCAUAUCCCAAAACAUUUUGUCAUAGCUUGGAUGGUCAUUCUCGACAAGUUGCCUAUCACUGGCGAAGCCUAGUAGAGACUCCUAAAAUGGUAAAUUUUUAAUUUAGACUUUUUAUAAUUUAUAAAAUUUUAAAUUAAUAAUGAUAAAAUUAUAAUUUAAUCCUCUAAAAAAUUAUAAAAAUUUAAUUUAACUCUUUAAAAAUUAUAAAAAUAUACUACUAUAAAAAUAUAUAAUUUAAUUCCGAAUAAAAAAUUUAGUUCAGCUACUAUUGCGUACAAAAGAAAAAUUAAUUUCGUUUUGGACCUAAUAUCGAGGGUGAUUGCAAACUGUGAGAUACAACACGUGGAGAGAUAUUGGUUUUAUGCAGCUCCAUGGGAAUGUAUUUUAUUAUACCAUCAUGCAGAUUGCUUCCAGUGCUCAUAUCUAUUUAAUUAUUUUAAUACACAUAAAAUUGUUUAUUGUGAGUUGGAUGAUUUUGGUUUAUUUAUUUAAGAUAUUUUAUUUUUAAAUAUAUUCUUAAUUAUUUAUUUUACAUAUACAUGUUUUUUAAUUUUUAAUUAUUUUAACUUAAUAUUUUUAAUAGUGAUUUUUUUAUAUAUAUAAAAAAAGGACCCAAAGGUCACUAUCUCAUUUUAAGUUGCACCAUAAAUUACAAUGUUAUGGAUAUCGCUAGGAUAAUUUAUCUCAAAAGAUAAAUUACAACACUUAAAAAGGGCCCAAUUACAAAGAAUUGGCUAAUUUGUUACAACCACGUUUCACCCAUUUGACCUUGGCGGAAACAAAAGAAUCAAGCCUCUUGUGAGCUCCUUGAUGAAGUGAUCAAUUAUCAUUAUGUCCUCCUUGUGAAAACUAAAGCGGUUGACAAUGCUAGCACAAUCUGUUUUAAAAAUAACAUUAUCGGCUUUAAGAAAUUGAGCAAGUUGAAAACAUUGAUGAGGGCAUCUAAUACCGCUUUAAUAGUGAUUUUUUAUUCUCAUUUUAUCGGUAUAUUUAUAUUUGAAAUAAAAUACAUAUUCUACAAUUAACUUUAAUCUCACUGUUACAAUACCUACAAUCCGCGUGUAUGUUACAUUAGCAAAAUCAACAUACGUUAAUUUUUCACUCAUUUUGGGGUGAUUUGACAAAAAUUACAAGUUUAAGAACUAAAAGAAAUGAAAAAUUAAAUGGAGAGUUGAAAUAACUUUUUUCUAUAAAGUUGAGAUCAAAAGAAUCAUUAUGGCAAAAAAAAAUAGUUGUUGUUCUUCUUCUUUUUUUUUUUUUUUGUAUUUUUUAGUGCUAAAAUUCAAGAUGGUGCGGAAUAGUUUCUAAUCUUAUUAUUGUUAUAUAUGUUUUCGACCCCACUAGAGCUAAUCUCACAGUCUAUAUAAAGAGAGCCUAAAUAUAAUUUGUUCAGCUUCUUUUAAACAUGUUAGUUCUCCUUUGUAUGAUCAUUUACCUCCCGUGAGUAGGGUUGAGUAAAUAAAAUAAAAAUAAUAAUUAAAAAUCGAUCCAAAUCAAGGUGUUUAGACGGUUUAUGGAAUAUAAAUUAAAAAAUCACAAUUAUUCAAAAUCGAAUCAAAUUUUAUUCUUUAUUUUAAUUUAUAAAUAAAUUUAUUUUUAUAAUAUAAAAAUAAAUAUUUUAUAUUUAAAAAUAGUGAAAAUAAAUAAAUAUAUUUUAAAAAUAUUAUAUAAAAGUAUUUAAUUAUUUUUAUCUACUUAAAAUAAUUUUAAAAAAUAUCUAUGAAAAAAACUUUGAAAAUUUGUCAAAUGAUAUUUAAAAGCCGUAAAAUAAAGUUUAUUUUAUUAAAAUAAUUAUAAAAAUUUAUAAUAACAAAAUCGAACUAAACUAAAUUAUAAUGGACGGAUAAAAAAAUAGAAUCGAAUUAAACUAAUAUCACUUGAUUUUAUUGCACCAAACUGGACAUAAAGGAUCUUCUUAAAAAAUUUAACCUGCAAUGAGAUUGUUUUCCUCACUAUAACCUUCUAGAGGUGUUAUAUAAGUACAUAUCAUAUGAUAAUUAUAAAUUUAAUUAUUUAAUUCUUAUAAAAAUUAAAUAUAUUACAAAUUAAUAUUUAUAUAAUAUAUAUUAAAUACAUGUAAAUUUAUAAUCAUAAAUAUAUUUUUAAUUAUUAUUUGAUAUAAAUAAUUUUAUUAUAUUUUAUUAUUUUCAUUUAUAUAAAAUAUAGUCCUUGAAUGUUGAAGUCUAAACCCAACCCUUAAACAAAGGAAUUAAAUUUAAAGUUGAGAAAGAUAUGGAUGGUAGGAAUGGGAGCAUAAGCAUGUAGAAGCAAUGGUGGCAUUUCAUCUUAUUAGCAGCUUUGGAAUAGAUUGUUAAGGAUGAGUAGGAAUCUGUAUGCUUAACCAUUAACCCAAACAUAUCGUAGAGAUUGAUUGUUCGCUUGUCAAAAUAUUAUACUAACAAAUUAGGCAUAAUCACUUAUUUAGCUCUCCAGCUUUAUAAUAAAAAAUUAUUUUAGUCAUUCAUUUAAAUUUUUGUCUCUUUUAGUCUUUAAACUUGUAUUGUUUAUUAAACCAACCCCAAAAUAAAUGAAAAAAUUAACAUUUAUUAACUUUGUUGAUGUGGCUUCCACAUGGAAGCCAAUGUGUAUGCCACAUUAGCAAUUGAUUAUUUUUUUAAAAAAUUUUAAAAUAGUUUUUAAUAAUUUUUAUACUUUUUAGAACUUUUAAUAAGUUGUAUACUUUUUUUUUAUAUUUAAAACAUUAGUUAAUUGCUAAUGUGGCAUGCAUGUGUAUGCCAUGCAAUUUUAAGGACUAAAUUGAUUUUUUCAUAAAGUUAGAAGGUUAAACAAAUCAUUAUGCCAAAAUAUAAUAUAGAAUUUAUAAAAAUGAAAAUAUUUAUAUUUAUAUUUUAUAUUUGUUUAAGUUCGGCCUGGUCCGAAAUAUAAACUUAAAAUCUGUUCAAAUUUGUAAACAGUUAACUCAAACUAAUUUUAAAUCCACUCAUACUAUUUUAAAAAAAAUUAAAUGAAUUUAUAUUAUUUUUAACUUAAUAUUUAAUAAUUUUACAUUUUUAUUGAAAUUUUAUAUAUAGUCAUCUUAAGAUUAUAAUAGUAUUAUAAUUUUUAUUUUUAUUUGUUACAAAUUACAUAAUAUAUAAAAUUAACAUAAUAUAAAAUAUUGCAAACUUAAAAAUUGGGUCGGGCCAAACUUAGGCUUUGAAUAUUCAAAUUUAAGCUCGACCCAUAUUUUAAACGGGCGGCCUAUUUUUUGAAUUUAAUAGUUUUACCCAAAUCCUCUAAAAUUUAAAAUCAACCUUUCAGCUUGACAAAGAACAGUAAGUCUCUUUCCCUUUUCUUUCCCUAUUGUUUUGGAUAAACAAUACAGUAAGAUCAGCUGAUGAAGAAUGCAUACAGAUCGACUUUCAACAAAGAAAAAGAAAGAACAAAUGUGCAUAGAGAGGAGGAUUUCAUGGGAGCACAAUGCCAUGGACAGAUCAGCUGAUGAAGAAUGCAUGUCCUGCUUUUUGGCUCUUCCAUUGAACUCAUGCUGAAAAAGAAGCAGCUUUGUUACGAGGUUAUAUUAGAUCAUUUGAAAUUAUGAGAUUAUUAUGAUUUUAAAAAUGUAGAGCAAUUAAGUAAUUACCACCAGUUUUUCUGCAUCUAAAUUCUUAAAGUUGUCAAAUGCCUUUCAGAAAAAUGCAUGCCAAUCGAAUAUGUGGGCAGAUAAACAAAUGAGGGAAGAAAGUACGAUCUCUGCUUUUUGUAUUACAUGCUAUGCUCUGCCGAAGAAUAAAGCCAAAAGCUAACAAAAAUGAAGGGUAAAAAGAUCAAAAAUUUCAAGAUAAAACAUAAAAUUGUAUGUAAAUAUGAUUAAGAUUUAAAAUUGGAAAAUGAACAAAGCAGAGCAUGAAGUAGAAGCAUAUUGAAGGCUGGCAUGCAAGCAUUUUGGAAAAUGUCCAUUGGGUACCAAUAAAGAUUUUUUAGAAUUAAAGUAUUAGAAGCUAUGAAAUGAUAGAUAUGAGCCACCAAAAUGCUUCACACUAAAUCUAAAUUAUUCAAUUUUGUUUUAUGGAAUCAAAUAGAAAAUAAAUGAGUGGCAUGAAUUACCUGUCAUUCCUUGUUGGUAUUUGGUGUAAGCUGCAAUUUCAAAUGUGUAUACACAGAUGGAUUUCAUCAGAUCAUUUCGAUGGUGAGAUUAAUAUAAUUUAAAAGCGUAAAGCAUUUAGCUAGAUUACCACUUUUUUUUUCUGCAUUUGAAUUCUUGAAAUUGCCAAAUUCGUUUCACUAAAAGUCUUCGAUGCUUACUGCACAAAAUAGCCAAAUAAAAUGAUAAAUGAAGAAAUUGCACCCAAAGCUUGUUCUAUUUUGGCAAAAGAGGCUGUAGUUGGAGAGUCAAUAUACCAACCUGUAGCGAUAUGAGCAAUCUUAUGCCAAUCCGCACCAAUCCCCUUCCGACAUCUUUCCUCCAACUGAGGAAUUCGUUUCAUAAAGAACUCUUCCAAACUGGUUCUCGUCCGGAAGCGAUGUUAAAUUAGGCAAAUCAGAGAGAAUAAGCCUUGGCAGAUUUGUUUGAUGUUGAAGCCACUCCGGAAGAUGGCGACACUUUGGAAUCUUUGCCAGCGCUAGAGAGCGCAGGCUUAUAUGAUCUUGGAAUAUUUGGAACUUAGGUGCAGAUAACUCCAGCUCCUUGUGUCACGGACUUGGAGUUUUCCCACACAUCCGUGCGGCCUUAGGCAGUUUCUUGGCUUAAAAACGCCUAAGUCAGCCUAACUUCCACCGAUAAAGGAUUCAACAGCAAAAACGCCUAAGUCAGCUCAACUCGCAACAAUAAAGGAUUCAACAGAAUUCCCUUAAAGUUUCCACGAAGAACAGCGGAAGAACGAAAUAAGAACGAUCUUUGGAAGAUGAACAAAAGCAAGAACACUUGAGAGAAAAGUUUGAGUAAAUGCUCUCAAUUCUUAUUCACAAAGAAUAAUGAAACAAUUCAGGAGUGAGUACAAAUGAGGGGGAGGCUCUCUAUUUAUAGUUGAGCUCCCCCAAAACCGAUGGCUACAAUUAAAAGCUGUAUUCGAUUAGGACUCUAAGUUUACAGAAUUAGAAGCUGUGAACAAUUAGAACUUCUAAGACUACAUAGUCCUAUCUUCAUUAUCGGGCCCAUCAGGCUUCAAUCUGACAGGCCUGUCCAACAGCUCUUUGAAUCGGGCCAGUUCUCGUAGGCCAAAUGAUCCCCAUCUGAGCAACAGACCUCCAUUGGAUGCAUUUGGUGCGCUGGUCACGGGCUUUAAACUGCGGCCCGUGACAUUUUCCCCCACCCAUUCUCGCAACGCCCUCGUUGCGACUUCUGAAUGGCACUGACUUGAUUCGCCUCGGUCUCGUCUCGUCGCCUUAGCCUUUCCCUUUCUUCGGGAUUUUUGCCUCGGCUUCUGUUGCUUCUUAACUCGAGCCAUCCUACUCGUCGCAUUUACUCUGGUCAACUGUCCCACAUGCAUCGCUUCUUUUCCUUUGAAGUCUGAUGCACCACCCACCUCUCCCAUAGGUGGAAGCCUUGUCGAUGACUCGGCCAACUCCGACGCUUCACUCAACUUGAGCCUCAUUGGUUUCAGCUUCACUGUUUUCAUCGCAACUCUUUCCUCUAAGUUCGAUGACAAACUCACCUCUUCCUUGGGUGGAAGCCCCUUCGAUGACUCACCAAGCUCAGACGUUGCCUUUCUUUUGACUCCGGCUUGCUUUGGACAGUUCCGCAACUCAUGCGGACCACGGCACAAGAAGCACUUAACUCGCUUAUUUUUGCUCCUCUUUGCCCUCUUGGCUUCGGCUUUACCCUUGCUCGAACCAAGCUUCUUGGGUUCCUUGUCUGCUCCAUCGUUCCCCUCGAUGACAGACUUCUUCGGACACUUCCGCCUUUGUUCGAACUCUUCUUUCGACAUCCCAACGGUGCCUUUGAACCAACAACUCGAAUAUUACUUGGUUCAAACCUUGGCUCGGAUACCACUUGUCACGGACUUGGAGUUUUCCCACACAUUCGUGCGGCCUUAGGCAGUUUCUUGGCUUAAAAACGCCUAAGUCAACCUAACUUCCACCGAUAAAGGAUUCAAUAGCAAAAACGCCUAAGUCAGCUCAACUCGCAACAAUAAAGGAUUCAACAGAAUUCCCUUAAAGUUUCCACGAAGAACAGCGGAAGAACGAAAUAAGAACGAUCUUUGGAAGAUGAACAAAAGCAAGAACGCUUGAGAGAAAAGUUUGAGUAAAUGCUCUCAAUUCUUAUUCACAAAGAAUAAUGAAACAAUUCAGGAGUGAGUACAAAUGAGGGGGAGGCUCUCUAUUUAUAGUUGAGCUCCCCCAAAACCGAUGGCUACAAUUAAAAGCUGUAUUCGAUUAGGACUCUAAGUUUACAGAAUUAGAAGCUGUGAACAAUUAGAACUUCUAAGACUACAUAGUCCUAUCUUCAUUAUCGGGCCCAUCAGGCUUCAAUCUGACAGGCCUGGCCAACAGCUCUUUGAAUCGGGGCAGUUCUCGUAGGCCAAAUGAUCCCCAUCUGAGCAACAGACCUCCAUUGGAUGCAUUUGGUGCUCUGGUCACGGGCUUUAAACUGCGGCCCGUGACACUUGCAGUUACUUAUUGCAUGCCCUCUAAAUCAACCUCCUUGCAAUCUCCUAUUGUCAAUUUUUUGAGGCCGGUGAAAACAGAUUAAUGGAAACCUUGUAGUUUUCAAAGGUGAAUAAAUAAGGACAAUUAAGAUUGGUGUUAACAAUUUUUACUAAUAUUUUGAAAACAUUUUAAAUAAGUUAAUAUAUAUAAUAUAAAAAAUCUAUAAAAAUUUUAAAAUUCAAUUAUUGUAAUAUAAAACUUUCAUAUCUAAAAACUCUAACUUAAAUUAAACUAUUUCAAUUGAAUCCAACAAACAAAUUGGACCGAAAACCAAUUAAUAUGAUUGGUUCGGCCACCUCUUAACCAGAACAACAUUAGUAUGUGAAUUUAAUUUCGUAUUUAUUUAAUUUGGUUAGCACAUAUUAAUAGUUUUCAUAUUCUCUUUAGUUUUUGUAUUUUGGGAUUGUGUAAAAUUUAAAAUUUUAGAUAUUUUUAUGUUCAUAUUUUCUUUUAUAAAUAUAUAGGGGUAAGCUCUCACUAAUUUUCUCAAGCUUUUAGGAGUUCCUUCUAUUGAAGCAAUAUCAUGAGCGAAUCUAUAAUCAAUAUAUAUGAGAAAGAAAAAAAUAUAAAAAAAGUAAAAUAAAAAAAUAAAAAUAGACUUGAACACUUAUGGAUGUUCAAUUUAUAAUAAGCUUAGGUAAAAGGGUUAAAAUAAUCAAACUAUUGUCUAACUCAUGCUAUGAAAAAGAAAUCACAAUUAAAAAAAGAAUAUCGUAUGCUUCAAUGAAAGUCACAAUUUAUCUUUGAUCAUGCUUGUUCGCAACUAAGUAGCUAUAAUGUAACUACAUGUUCCUACAGACCUCGCUCUAGUUGACUUUGCCCUAUGAUCCUUUAGCCGAAUUUGUGAUGUCUAUAUUUUAAUAUGCGAGGUAUUUAAAAAAAUAGAUACAUCAAUUUAUUUUUGUAGUGGGUGAAUAUAAUUAUUUAUUUAUGCAAUAUAUAAACAUAAAAUGAUGUCAUAUUAAUAAUUUAUGAAAAUUAGAUCAAAUUAAAAUUUCAUGUAUAAAAUUACAUAUUAUGCCAAAGUUUAUAUAUAGUUUUGAGAUUUAUCCCAUUUUCCUAUUAACUUAGCCAUUAGCUUGAGCAUUAAAUGUUCGCUCAAAUAUGAUAGGGGACAUACUUAAAACACAUGUGUACAUGCUAUAUAGGCAACUUGAAUCUAAUGUGUUAAAAAAAGAAGAAGAAGAAAUAAUCCUCUUAAAAUUUAUAAUCUCGUCGUAUUUUUAAUAUGUUAUAAUCAAGUUAUCAAUAUGAUGAGUCCACAAGUAUUUACAAUUUAAUCCAUGUCAAAUGAGAACAGAAAUUUAAAAUCUAAAUUGAUAGCUACAAAAAUGAAAUGAUUUUAUUGUUAUAAUAUUAAUACUUUCAAAACUUAAUUAAAAUAUUUUAAAAUUUACAAAUUAAUUCUAAAACAAUAUUUAAUAAAUUGAGAAUAUUUAAUACAAAUAACUUCUUAUUUGAAUAUAAAUAAUUAUAACACAUUUAUUAUUAAAUGAAAAUAAUAUUGUUUGGUUGGAAAUGGUCCCACCGUGUUUUACGUUUGGGGAACAAAGCGACGGCGUUUUAGUUGGAGAAGAAGGGAGUAACGUUGUUAAGUACAUCAUUUUGUUUAUUUUCGUUUUAAAUUUGUUUUCUCGUUUUCUAUUUGAUGCCGUUAAUAUUCUUUUUUGGGUAAACUAUAUUAAAAGUCAUUCAACUAUUUUAAAAAGUACAAAAUGAUCACCAAAUUAUUAGUAAUUUCUUUUAUCUAAUUAUGAAAAGUUACAAAAUAAUCAAUAAACUGUUAUUUUUUUCCUUUUCUUUCACCCAACUAUCUUGGAUUUUUUGGUAUUUUCUAUUUUUUCAUUAGCCAACUAAUGAUAAAAAUGAUAAAAUUGAAUCGUUGGGAGACUAUUUUGUAACUUUUCAUAAUUGAGUAACCAAAAAGGAAAAAAAAAACUUAGUUGGGUGACUACUAAAGUAGGUUACCCUUUUUUAGGUUAAAAUAUGCCAUAUGUCCUUGUACUCGCCAUAAAUUUGAAAUUUAGUCUCUAUACUUGUAUUUAUAGGAAUUUAAUUCUUUUACUUUUUAAAGUUCAAAUUUCAGGUCCAAUUGUUAAUACUGUUAAAUUAACCAUUUAAUGAUAGAGGGACUAAUUUGUAUGCAGUCCCUACAGUACCGGUACUUUAACCCUUAUAUAUAUAUUUGAAUUUUAUUUUAGGAUUAAAUUGAAAAUUUGAAAAAAGUAAGAGUUCAAAAAGGUAAAAACAAAUGAAAUUAGCACAUUAACUUACAAUUAUAUACCCUUUCUUUUCCCUCCUUUUCUACUCUAUAUCUCUCUAAUGUCAGAACUAAAACCCUCAUUUUCUCUCCCUUCCUAUUUCCCUAUUGCAAUUAUACCCACCUCGUUUCCCCUCAAUAUCAUAAACCUCCAUGUUCGGGAUGGUCUUAUGCUGCCGUAUUAACCUCCUCCUACGGCUUCAACAGUACCAGCUUCGACGGUUCCUCCGGUUGUUCCGCCGAUACGUCGUCACCUGGCCUUCGAUUCGACGAAGCCGCUGUUUGUUCAUCCCGAUGAUUAUCACAGAUUUUCAUCUAGUAAUAGUCGUGGAAUCGUCACCGAUCAGGAAGUUGAAGCUGAACAUUUAAUGCUGUGCUCUAUAUGAAGAAAGCUUGAUGGGUGUUAGUUCUUUUGAUGUUUGUAGAAUAAUAAAAGAAAACUUCUCAAGUUUAUUGGAUGCUAACAUAUUGUUAUAUACAAGCAAGGAAAGGAAGUAACAGAAAGUAACAGAAAAAUAACUACUAACUGACUAACAAGAAAUUAAUUUAAAACUAUAUGACUAAUAGCCCCCCUCAAGCUGGAGAGUGAAUGGGAAACAGUCCCAGCUUGGACAAAAUAAGCUGGAAGGGAACAGCAGGCAGAGCUUUGGUGAAGAUGUCAGCAAGCUGGUCUUUGGAAGAAUAAGGAAGCAAUUUGACAACACCGGACAACACUUUUUCACGAACAAGAUGACAGUCGAUCUCAAUAUGUUUAGUACGUUCAUGAAACGUAGGGUUUGCAGCAAUUUAGAGAGCAGAAUUGUUGUCGCAAAAAAAAGCAGUAGGCCCAGAAAUAGACAGAUGCAAAUCAGACAGAAGAAAUCGAAGCCACUGAAUUUCACAAACAGUAGAUGCAAGAGCCCUAUAUUCUGCUUCUGAGGAAGAGCGAGACACGGUGCUUUGCUUCUUGGCUUUCCAACUAACAAGGGAAUCUCCAUAAAAUAGGUAGUAACCAGUCACGGAGCGACGUGUGAGAGGACAACCAGCCCAAUCAGAGUCACUAAAUGCCUUCAGUGUAGGCGAAGAAGAAGCAGAAAAGAAAAUACCAAAGUCAAUGCAUCCUUUCAGGUAGCGAAGAAUGCGAUGGGCAGCUUGAAGGUGAGUGACUAUAGGUCGGUCCAAGAAUUGACUUAACUGUUGAACAACAAAAGCAAGAUCAGGUCUAGUAGAAACCAAAUAUAAUAGGCGUCCAAUAAGUUUUCUGAAAAUAGUGUUAUCAGGAAGUAAUUCGUCAGAAGCAUCGCGAGGGAUUUUAGUAACCAUAGGAGUUGUAACAGGCCUGCAAUCUGAGAAACCAAAAUCAGCCAGUAGAUCGAGAGCAUAUUUUUGCUGGCAAAGAUGAAUACCAGCAAAACUACGAGCAACUUCAAGGCCAAGAAAAUACUUGAGAUCCCCCAAGUCUUUGAUGCUAAAGGCAGAAUGCAAAAAGGCUUUUACCCGUGUGAUUUCUUCCAAAGAAUCACCAGCUAGAAUAACAGCAUCAACAUAAACCAAUAAGGCAGUAAAGGAAAUUUCAUCCUUUUUAACAAACAGAGAAAAAUCUGAAGUAGAUUGAACGUAACCAAUUGUAGUGAGAGCUGCAGUGAGUUUGGCAAACCACUGUCGACUAGCCUGCUUGAGACCAUAUAAUGAUUUUUGCAACUUACAAACCUUAUGGGAAGUGGAGGAAGCAAAACUAAGAGGCAAAAACAUAUAAACUUCUUCAGUCAAAUCUCCAUGCAGAAAUGCAUUGUUAACAUCAAGCUGGUGCAAAAACCAGUCUUUGGAAGCAGCAAUAGCAAGCAAUAAUCGAACAGUAGUAAUCUUGGCCACAGGGUAAAAAGUAUCAAAAUAAUCAACACCCUCAGUUUGUGUGAAACCUUUAGCAACCAAACGAGCCUUGUAACGCUCAAUAGAACCAUCGGCUCGAUAUUUCACACGAUAGACCCAUUUGCAACCGAUUGCAAUUUUGCCUGAAGGUAAGUCCAUAAUGAUCCAGGUGUUAUUUUGUUCAAGAGCAGAAAUUUCAGCUUGCAUUGCUUCUUGCCAAUGGGGAAUUUUGCUAGCUUGUAAAUAGGUUGUAGGUAUGGGAGAAGCAUUGAUAGCAAGAGUAAUAGGUGUGGCGCAUCGAAGAUGAUUGGCAACAGUUUUGCUGGAAAAGCAGUGAUACUGGUCUAAAUAUGAAGGAGGUUUCCUAAGACGAGGUGGCCUAGAGGGUUGUAAAGGAACGGGAGGUGAGGGUUGUGAUUGAAUUGGCAAGUCAUAGGUAAUGGUGGGGUCAAAGGUUAACUGUGGGAUGGAAGAGGAAGAAGAUGGUUGUUGAGAAAAAGGGAAAACGGACUCAUGGAAAUGGACAUUUUUGGAUAUAAAAAUGGCAUGGGUUGAUAGAUCAAAAAGAAUAUAGCCUUUGACAUGAGGUGGAAAACCAAGAAAGACACACUCACGUGCUCGAGGAUCCAACUUAUGACGAUGAGCAGUAAGAGUGGUUGCAAAACAAAGACAGCCAAAGACACGGAGGUGCUGAAAAGAUGGCUUAGUUUGGUAUAACUUGUCAAAAGGGGUAAGGUUAGCCAAAAUGGGAGUAGGGGUACGAUUAAUAAGAAAAACAACAUGAAGAAUAGCAUGUCCCCAAAAAUGCUUAGGCAAAUGAGAAUGAAAUAAGAGAGCCCGUGCAACAUUAAAAAUGUGUUGGUGCUUGCGUUCUACAAGACCGUUUUGUUGUGGGGUUUCAACACAUGUAGUUUGAUGAAUUGUGCCUUUGGAAGCAUAAAAGGCUAGAAUGGCAAACUCACAACCAUUGUCAGAUCGAAUGACUUUAAUUUUAGAUGAAAAUUGAGUUUCAACAAGUGUGAAAAAAUUCUGAAUGUGAGUACGAACUUCAGAUUUUGCUUUCAAUAAAAUAAUCCAAGUAAAGCGACUAAAAUCAUCAACAAUGGUUAAAAAAUAACGAUGACCAGUAAUGGAAAUAACAUCAGUUGGACCCCAAAUAUCAACAUGAACAAGUUCAAAAAUUUUAUUGGAAAUGGAAGUGCUUACAGGAAAAGAUAAUUUCUUUUGUUUGGCCAAAUGGCAGGCUGUACAAGGUGCAUUAUUUGACAAAGACAAAGAAGGAAUGUAAGGGAAAAGUAGUUUUAGUCGAGAAUCAGAAAGAUGACCGAGACGAUGAUGCCAAAGGGAACAUGAAGAUGUGUUGGCUGACAAGGCAAUGGGAGCAGAAAUGGAAAAAGUUUGAGCUGGGAAAUCCAAAAUAUAAAGACCAUGGAGCACUCUAGCUGUACCAAUCAUAUUCGAAGAAGGAAGAGCCUGUAUAGAACAAUGAUUUUUAUGAAAAGUAAAGGAACAAGGUAAUAUAGCAGUGAGUUUAGUAACAGAUAAAAGAUUAAAGGUAAAUUGAGGAACAUAGAGAACAUUAGUAAUGUAAAGACUAUUAUUGAAAAUGACUGUACUAGAAAUUCGAGCACAAACUUUAGUGCCAUUUGGAAGGUUGAUGUAUAUAGGUUUAAUGGAAUGAAAAGAAGCAAAAAAUGAUAAAGAGUGAGCAAUGUGAUCAGUGGCACCUGUGUCAAUGAUCCAAUGAUGGGAUUGAAGAGAAAAUAGGUUACCUGAGGAUGGGAAAGGGUUCGGUUGUGAGGAAGAAGCAGUAUUGGUAACAUGAGGUGGGGAGGUAGAUGCUGGAAGUAAUGCAAGUAGCUGUUGCAACUGAUCUUGUGUCAAAGUAACAGAAGGAUCAGAUGGCAAAAUAUCAACAUGCUGCGAAGAGUCCAAAGGUUGUGAAGCACAAUCAUUAAGCGCUGUAUGUGCACAAGAGGCCCGACCUCGAGACUUGUAACCAGGUGGAUAUCCAUACUUUUCAUAACAAGUAUCAACAGUAUGCCUAGAUUUGCCACAGAAGGUACAUUGCCAUGAAUCAGUAAAUGAUUUAGCCUGAGGUUUCUUUGAAGAACUGUGGUGGCGCAGUGUGUUGCUAACAAACAACUGAGAUGAGCCAGUAGGAAGGUGACGUUCUUGUUGAAUAACCAGGGAAAAUACUUUGUUGAUUGGAGGCAAGGGAUCAAUAAGCAUGAUUUGAGAACGAACAGCAGCAAAUCGAUCAUGAAGACCUUUAAGAAAACGAAUAACGUAGUCGUUAUCAUGAUAUUUCUGGAGAGUGACAAAAACACCGCAAGAGCAAGAUGGUGAACAAGAACAAACUGGAAUUGGUCGAAAAUUCAUCAACUCAUCCUAGAGAAUUUUUAACUCAGUAAAGUAAUCAGUAACGGAACGAUCAUCUUGCUUGAAAGCAUUGAUCUCUUCUUGGAGAGCAGAAAUGCGGAAAACAUCACUUUGAGAAAAGCGUUCACGAAGUCGGGCCAAAGAACACUGUUCAUGAUCGAGGGCGAGAUGGAAUGGUGCAACCAAGAAAGCACCAUAGUGUUACAUCGUUCCCAGGCAGAAUAAAGAGGAUCCGUUCGAGGUGGAACCGUGAUGGUGCCGUCAACAAACUGAAGCUUGUUCUUGGAUAGAAAUGCCAUUGUCAUAGCUCGAGACCAAGAGUGAUAGUUUGAGCUUGAUGAGACAGGAGAAACAAGAACCAAAGCUGGAUUUUCAUUUGGAUGCAGAUAGUAUGGGCUAGAAGGCAGCAUAGUAUCAUGAAAUGCCAUUGGAAGAAAAGGGAAUCAAGAAUGCAGAUUAUGGAGAAAGCAAAAUAUAACGUCUGAUACCAUGUAGAAUAAUAAAAGAAAACUUCUCAAGUUUAUUGGAUGCUAACGUAUUGUUAUAUACAAGCAAGGAAAGGAAGUAACAGAAAGUAACAGAAAAAUAACUACUAACUGACUAACAAGAAAUUAAUUUAAAACUAUAUGACUAAUAAUGUUUUGUCUUUGAUGGAUGUUUGAAAAAUGAUUCAGUUGAUAUCCAUAAUGUCUAUCACUAUAGUUUCCCCCUUAUGCAUAAUUCGACUGCUCUGCUAGUUUUGUCGGACAAAAUUAUAUUCGCAUAUUAUAUUCUUUUUCUUUAUUGUCUUCAACGCGAUAACAAGUGAAUUACUAGUUACUUUACUUGAUUUUUUCAUGGCAUUUAUCUCUUUGAGUUUUGGCCUUUGUGAAUUAACUUUUGAAUCAAGUAACGAAGCAUUUCUGAUGGUUCUUAUGGCUAACAGUAAGUUUUCUUGUACAAGCUGUCGCACUUAUGCAUUUGUUAAACUUAUGCUCUUUUUUAUUUUAUUUUCUUCAAUUCAAUUGGUUGUUAACGUUGAUAUAACCGUGCACAAAUACUAAGGGACCUUGUAAUUUUGCCUGCCAUUGCCAGUACUUCGAAAUAUUGCUGAUUUUUCUCAGCAAUUAAAAAGGAAGAGCGCAGCAGACAAAAAUGAUGUUGAGUCUAGCCAAUGGACAAGCAGUCCGGGGGUUACCUGUAUAUGGUAAAGGAGGAAGGAUAAAUAAUAGAUCAAAGACAUCAAAAGCCAAUAAAUCAAUGCCUCACACACCUGUGUCAAAUGCUGGUGCGAUACUAUUUCCUACUGGCUUUGUCCAUAGAAGGAAACUUAUGAUUCACCCCACGGCUCUAUCAUCAAUGCCUCAUUGCUCGAAUUAAGAGAGAUGGAUUUUGUAGAAGAGGAAUCACUGACAUUAUAAAUGAUAAUUGGCAGGUUGUCCAUCUCCUCUUACACCUGUGGCAGCUGCUGUUUAGAUAGUCCUUUAGUUAAUCUUUACUGCCCAUUCUUUUUUCUUUUACUAUAGUCUGUUUUAGCUCCUUAACCUGCUAUGGAUGGUGAGAACGACAAUAAUGCAGUCCCCAUUUUUAGGUCUGUUGACGAAAAAGUUUGUCAAUCUGAUGAAGCAUGCUGAUUUGUCAAUCUGAUGAAGCAUGCUGAAGAUGGUAUCCUUGACCUAAAUAAGGCUGCAGAAACAUUGGAGGUAAUGAAAUACUAGCGAGCUUAUGUAUCAUUGGGUGUUUGUUGAGUAUUUUUUUCAUGUUACUUAAAGGGUUCUUUUGUCCUUUAUUUUUCCCUGUAAAUGUUGUAACAGGUGCAGAAGAGGAGGAUAUAUGAUAUAACAAAUGUCUUGGAGGGCAUCCCUUCAUCUGAAUACUGUUUGGAACCCUAAAAAAACAUAAAUGUGUUUUUUCCUGAGAUGGCACGUAUUUUGCAAUAAGAAAAAUAAAGAGUACAAUUAAAAUGUUUAUGCAGUUCGGAACUUGUCCUAUGUCUGCGGAGCUUUGCCCAAAGAUGAAUCCACUAUGAACUUUAUAGUACAAAGAAAUGAUUUAAGCUUAACCCCUCAAACACUUUAUGCAAAUUCUCACUUUUGUACAAUUAAGUAAAUUCUCUCCCAACUCAUUUUAGCUAUGCAAGUGAAAAUUCACAUUCAACACUCACAUGAUUUUCCUACUAUGAAUAAGUUCUUAAUAAGCUCCAUAUAAGUGGAAUAAUAAAUUUUCAAAUGCAAUAUGUCUGGGAAUUGUCAUGCUUGAACAACGACUCUUCCAAAAGCAUCAAUGAAUCUGAAAAUUAUAAAUGCCAACAUAGAAUAUGUUACAAAUCCCGUUAUUAUCAGCCUUAUAUUUACACAUAUGUCUGUUUAGUAUAAUGCUGUUGAUAUAUAAAUAAUGAAACAUUUUAUCAACUUCAACCUCACCACCAAAUAUUCUGAAGCAUUUUCCUUUUUUUCCUGUUUGGACCUUCAAUAACAAAUUUGGCUGGAAUUCCAAACAGCUAAAAGAGUGCCCUGCAUCAAUGAAUAUUAAGAUGGUAAGCAAAAACAUAAAUAUAUAUAAAGAUAUGAUAGGUAAGUGCUUAAAUGAAGAAAGCAGAGCAUAUAGUACAACCAUUUUGAAGGCUUCAUGGGCCUCUCUCUCCACAUCAAUCAUUUUUUAGAAUCAAAAUAUUAGAAGCAAAUAGAUGAAUUAUCACCUCUUUUUAUGCAUAUAAAAUGAUUGAAGUUGACUAAUGCCUUUCUCCAAUGCCUUACUGCACAAAUCAGCAAAUAUAUUAUGAAAGAUGAUAAGUAAAAAGUAGGAUGAAAACAAAGGGAUUUUAACAAGGAAAUUAACAGUAUCCAACUUCAAUGAAAAAUGGCAUCAGACCCCUGACUUGGAGAUUCAAUAUACCACUCUUAUUUUUCUUCAAAAAAAGAUAAGGUCAUCAAAAUAAAUAAAUAACAAAGACAGACCAACCUGAUAUGACCCAAUGUUGGGGAUGUGAGCAAUCUUUUGCCAAUCAGCGCCAAUGUCCUUCCGACAUCUUUCCUCCAACUGAGGAAUUCCUUUUAUGUGUAAAUACUCCAAACUGGUUAGGCAACGCAUCCCGUCCGGAAGAGAUGUUAAAUUUGGCAAAUUAACAAGAUGAAGCCGUUGCAGAUUUGUUAGAUGUUGAAGCCACUCCGGAAGAUGCCGACACUUUGGAAUAUAUUCCAGCCGUAGAGAGCGUAGUCUUGUAUGAUCUUGGAAUAUUUGGAUGCCAGCUCCAGAUAACUCCAGCUCCUCGCAGUUCCUUACUUCAAACUCUUCAAGGAAAGUGAGAUGUUGGAACACAGGAAGCAGUGACCUCAAUCCAUUCCAGUUAUGAAUUUUUAAUGUUUUCAAUUGAACAAGAUGUUGAAGCCCAAUGGGGAGAGACACCAGCUUUGGAAUAUUAUCAAUCUCCAAAUGAGAGAGAUUCUUAAGGGGUUCCCCUUGCAUGCCCUCUAAAUCAACCUCCUUGCAAUUUCGUAUUGUUAAUCUUUUGAGGCUGGUGAGAUGUUGCAGGCACUCAUCUAGCGUGUAAGUGUCCAACCCCUCAAUGUUGUGUACAUCGAAAGAUUUCAAUUUGGAGAGUGGAAGAGAAGAGGUUGAAGUUGAUGGGGCCUUAGCAUUGAUGUUCAUCUUGAUAGUCUGCUUUAACGGCCUUGAACUGGUAUUCGACAACAUUAGAUCUUCACCGAGUGAUGGAUACAGUGGCAUUAAAGUCAAAGGGCAAUUUUGAAUUGUUAAAGAGGAAAGACAAGGAAAUGCCAUGGUUGAUGUUCCCAUAACUGUUGUGUCGUCCUCGUUGGAAUCAUCAUCGAUUGGUUUUGUCGUCCUCCACCAACUCUUCAUAUUUGGGCAAUCCUCGAGGUUAAGAAGCUUAAGCGAUGGGAAGAAUGAUUGUGGUUCUCCUUGACUUCCUUUUGGGCUAUUAUCAUCCAUGUACUCCAGCUUAGUACAAAACAUAAUAUCCAGCAGUUCAAGACAGGGCAAUUGAGCAAAGGACGGGAAAUAUUUGAAAUUACCACCACUUAUGAAAAUUUUGACGAGAUUUGUGAGCAAAGGAAGCCAACUUGGAAACUUGGCAUCACCCCUCCAUCCUCGAAUACAGAGCUCCUUUAGAUUAGGAUGGGGUUGGAGGUCUUCAAGUGAUUUAUCAUCAUCAUAUUCAUCAUCGUUAAAAUCAAAAUAAAAGCUCCAUUGUAAAACCAACGAUCUCAAAUGUUGCUUCUCAUUCAAAUUAGCAGCCUUAAACUUCUCUUUUGCAUUUUUUACGAAUCCCAAAUUUGCUAUUUCUAGAUGUCCCCUUAAGUUGUUAAGCAGUCUCAAUUCACUUAGAUCUGCACCGCCAUGGGACCCAUCUUUAUCCACUACAAACAUGCUUAACGUCUCAAGUGAAGUCAGCUUCCCUAUUCCACGUGGCAUAUGAGUUAAACUAAAACAAGCGUCACACCCAAUAUGGGUAAGCUUCACCAAUUUUUCAACCUUCUUUGGCAAUUCUUGAAGCCCACAACACCAGUCAAGUUUCAGCGCUAGCAAAUUCUGAAUCUUGCAAAUACUCUUUGGGAGAAUCUUGAUAUUGUAAUUGGAAGAAAGAUCAAGGUGCCUCAAAUGUUUCAACUUGUAAAUGGAGGGUGAAAUCAUCUGAAUACCUAACGAAUGCAAAUCCAAUACACGCAAGCAUCUACAAUUUGCAAUUAUCAAAUCCCAAGUUUCAUAGCUGAAAUCAUCACUCAAUUUUUGAUCUAUGUUGUCUUGAAAAUGUAACAAGGUUCGCAACUUCUUUCCCUUAAACAAAGGAAUUAAUGAAGGUUUAAUUGAUAUGUGGCGACAUUUUUCACCAACAUCACUUGCAAUUCUAUUUGAAUCUACAAUACUACUCUCCAUCCCUGCUACUGAUUCAGCUAGAUCAUGCAUUAAAUCAUGCAUUUUACAUGUUAGCCCUUCCCAUGAAUAUCUUUCUCCUACUUCUUGGAAGAAACUUCUUUCAACUAAAUCUUUAAAAUACCCAAACCCAAUCUCCUCCAGAGAUUGACUUUGAUUCAAUUGCUUUAUGAAACCCUGUGCAAUCCAAAAUUGAACAAGCGCUUGUACUUCAAUUCUGUAAUCUUUUGGAUACAAUCGGCAAUAAGCAAAGCAAUGCUUCAAAUGAGACGGGAGAUGAUCAUAACUCAAUUUCAGCAUAGGUAGAAGUUCUCCUUCAAUUUGUGAUAUUUUAGCAAGUUCAUUUUCUUUGAAAGAAUGCCACUCAUUUGCAGUUUUCUUCAAAGAUAAUGUACCAGCUAUCGUCCUUAUGGCUAAGGGAACCCCACCACACCUUUCCGAAAUCUGUC